UAUUCUAUCUUCACUCAACUUCCCUCCCACAUCUCAUUAUCUGAUAUAACCCCCCAACUCCCCAAAUAUGUACAUUGAACCACAAAGAAAAACAUUAUCAGACAAACAGAGAGGAAAAAACAGUCAGAGAAGAAAAUUAGAGAAUAACUUAGAAAAAUAAGAAUAACUUAGAAAAAUAAAAAUAAAGAAGAGAAUUAAGAUUGGUCUUCAUUUGAAGUUUCCGGUGAAGGUUUCUUGAUUCAUAUUUCAGAUUCAUAUUUCAGGUUUUAUUUGAUCCUGUAUUUUUAUUCUAUAUAUUUUAUUGAGAAUUAAAUUAUGAAUAAAGUUGUUUCAACAUUUCAUUGAUUAUGUAGUAUAUCUAAUUGUUGCGGUGUUAUGUUUUUAUUUGUAUUAUUACUCGAAUCAAUGAUUAUCGUUUCUUGAAUAUUCAUUGAAUUUAUUCUUAAAGGUUGAGAUAUUCUGUUAAGAUAUAUGUAUGAUGAUUUGAUUUUCAUAGGAAAAAUUGGGAAAAAAAAAGAAGAAAAGGAAAAAAUAUCACACAUUACACCUCACAAUUUGCACACACUACAUCAUACACUCACUGUAAAAAUUCAUUCUUCACCUACUCCAUUUUUCAUGUAUUCACAAUAAAAAAAAUCACGGAAAAGGGAUCCUUUACUUGAUCCACUCACACCACAACACAACUGGUAAAGGCCGCAGUUCGCCAGUUUGAGUCUCAUCAGGUCACUGAAGGCAUUGAAAAUCAGUCACGCAUCCCGGGCCCCGUGAAAUUAGCCGAAGCUCUGCCUUGAAAUAGCGGGGGCCGGUGGGUAUAGCUAGUCGGGUUCGCAGCGAUACCCGGAAACUCGGAUAAAAAAAAUACACACCCAAACUAUUUCACACAUACACAGCAACUCACAAGCACUCAUGGAUACAUAAUGAAAGACGCGGGAGAGGAGAGAAAAAUCAGUGAAAGAAAAAGUAAAAGAGUGAAAAACAGUUAACGGGGGGAAUUUAGCCGGUGGAUUUUGAGUUUUCCGGCGAAGUUUCAGCUCGAAUCAUCCAUCCCUCAUCGGAAUUGGCCAUUUCUCACUGAAAUCUACUGUUCCUCAUUGGAAUCACCCACCGUGACCAAGAUCCACCCAUUACCGGGCACCGGCGACCAAAAUCCGAUCCCGGUGGUUGGUUCCGGCAAUGAGUCGCCGGCAAAAAUAAGGUCACUACUGCUGCCGCCACUUCCCAGCUCCCUCCCUCCUUUCCAUGGCUGCUCCGCCGGGAUUGGUUGCCGACGGACGAGCCUCCAAACCAGUGAAAUACCACUUAUCUUCAGUAGCCCUCCUUCCUCUUCCCUUUUCCCUUUCCGCUGCCGCCGGAUUUAACUCCCGAAUAGCCGGCAACCACCUAAAUGCCAUUACUGGCCACUGUCAGCGGCGAAUAAACCCGAUCCAGCCGUGCCGCCAUGUGUCUCCCUUUUCUUCCCCUUUCCACUACUGUCCAUCAGGAAACUGGCCAAAUCUGGCCGUGUUCCUAUUUUUCGACGAUUGCCGCCCCUUCCUCCGUUUUCGUUCAUGGAGGGUGGGCUUCGGCCAAAGCCACCAACUACAUUCAUCGUCGAAAAAUCUAUAUUCCUACGUCGUGAAAUUGACAUUUUUAUUAAUUAUAGGAAUAAAAUAUGAGAUUAUUUGAUUUUUUUAAUGAAAAAUUAGAAACGUAAUUGAUUUUUAUUUCCAUUGAAUUUUAAUUGAACAAGUGAAAUAUAUUAUUUUAACCUGUGAAUAUAAUAUUUUGACAUGUAAAAGAUAUGUAGAAGUGUUUCUGUUGCUUGUUGGUUUGGUUUGGUUGGAAAUUGGAAUAUGUUAGUACAGGAUUAGUUAGAAUGUAUUAUUUCAGAUUAAUUGGAAUAUGUUAUUUUGACUUGUAAAUAUAAAAUUUUGAUUUGUACAAGAGAGGAAAAAACUAUUUGCAAGGUGCAAGAUAAGUUGCGGAUCAAUCCAAAAGUCAUUAUAAAUUUAAGAAGAAAGAGUGAAAAAAUAGAUAAGAUAAAAUUGUCACGAGUUCGCAAGCAGCAAACCAACACCUUUACGCUAGAAAAAUUUUAGGCAUGUUUAAAAUAUUCAUCUCAGUUUAGAAUGCAUCGUACGUAUUUUUCUGACACAUUUAAAAAUUCAAAGAUGUAAUAUUGCACCUUGGCAAAUAUUUUUCUAAGAUUAACUUUCACCGAUUUGUUUAAUAUAAAAAAAUGUAAACAAAUAUUUUCGGUAUAAUAAAAAUCAGUGAAUUUAGACCUUAACAUAAUUUAUUAAAAUAUAUUAAGUCAAGAUAAGUCAAUAAAAGCGAUCGUGUUAGAACUACGGGACUUGAGGGGUGCCUUAUACCUUUCCCUCGGUCAACAGAAUUUCUUACCAGUCUUCUGUUUUUGCAGACCAUAAUAAAGAGUCAUUUCCUUUUGACUAGAAAUUCAAAAAGGUGAUUUGAAACACGAUAACUCAAUUCCAAGUGGAGACUCUAAAAAUGAUAAAAAUAAUUUCUAUUCAAAACCGUCACUUUAAUUGAAAAAAUUCUUCGACCCCGAUCCUCGGGCGAAAAAGUGGUGUGACUUCUCUGGAGAUUCUGCUGGGGACAUAAGCAGAAUUCAAGCUUUUAAUAUUGACUUUUUUUUGCUUUAAUUAUUUUGAUAUUGUGUUUGUUGGUCGAAUGUACUACUUGUCGCUCAUUUAUUGCUUUAAUAUUGUUAAAUUGUAUUAUAAACUGUCUUCUCUUGCGCACCCUCUUUGAGUCUCUGAAAAUAGGAUAGAAGGAAUGUAGAAUAUGUGUUAGGCGGGGUUUGGAUCAAUAAUAAAGUCGGAGUAGCACUGCUACCAAAUAAGUUGUCCCUCCCCGACUCGAAUGUCUACUCGAGUAAGCCAAUCUAGAUACCUUUCCCCAUCAGGCUAAACUUCGUAGAACUGAAACUCAGAAUCUGAUUAUCCCUAUUAUGUUUUGCUUUAUUUACAUCAUGUGCAUUUGACAUAGCGGGACUCGGCACAGGGGUUGGAUCUGUCUAGGACAGGUGUCUCUCUUUAUAAUGACCAAAAUGUGCAUCCGACGUGCUCUUGACAUUAUUUGAAAAGUCAUUUGAUUGUUGACCGGUUUUAGACAACUUGGUAAAACGCAAUAAAGUAUUUUGUCUUCAAAUUUAACAAAUUAUUUUUCAAGGAAAUUAACAAAUAUAUAUAAUUUUUAAGGUAUUCGUGAACUACGAGGGUCUGAUUCUCACUUUUUAGUGGGAUACGUAGGAAGUCCUUCCCGGGAUACGACCUUGUCUUUUGAAAAAUCAUUCAUAUAUUUAUUAGAGAAUAUUUUAAAACUAUGACUACUUUCAUAAUAAAAAAAAUAUAUAAAUUAUAUAAAUCUUAACAAAUCUGAACCUUUAGGGGUCUUGAGGCUGAGUUUUGUACGAUAUAUAUUUCUAAGAUUGUUUUAUUUUUAUAGAAUACUUAGAUGUAUUUUCUUCCAAAUUCAUGAUUGAAAUUAUAUAGGGGUUUGUCAUUGCAAAAUUUUUGGUAAAGUUGGUCUAAAUAAGUAUAAUUUCUUUAAAAAAAUAUUUUGUUAGUUUUUCAAAAACUACGCACACCUGAUUCUCAUCUUAGUGAGAUAUAAAAAAAGGGAUUGCCUUUCCUUCUAAACAAAAAAGAAGAGAGUUUUAAUAUUUAUAUAAAAAUAAAUUAAUUUGUUUUUGAGAAUUAAAAAAAUGUGUUUUUUUUAAAUUCAAAAAAAUAAAGUCUUUCUCAUUAUUGAAAUAAAAAGUGUGUUUCUUUAUAUCUCCAGUUUUCACGAACUACGCAUGCCGGAUUCUCAUUGUUAUGAGAUACGUAGGCAAUUCAUACUGGGUUUAGUGAUACUCUUAAGAAUUUUUUUUAAAAAUGUCAAGCCUUAACACAUUUGUUAUCUCCAAAAUUAGAAUAGUAUUAAGGUGGUUGGUUUGUGGCUAAAUUGACAUCUCACCCAUACAACAUCAGGUCCAAAGAAUAAGUAAGAUGACCCACAAAAAUGGUAUAAGGUCUGAGAUGAGUUGGUGUAGACUGUUAGAAAUGAGGAAUAAAAAGAAAUAGCUUAGAAUGUGAGAAAUUUGAAGCAAAAUAAGAGAAACAUGCAAAUACUGGAAGAGAAAAAAAAUUUCCUGCAAGGAUUUGUACAUAUUUCACAAUGUUCACUUGUCUCGAGAGUCCAAAACACCAAAGUUGGAUAUGUACGAGGGUCAUGGGGAUCCUUUGGCUCAUCUUAAAAGGUUUUGUAAUUAAUUAAGAGGGGUAUGGGGAAAAAGAAACUGUUGACGGAUUACUUUGGAGAGAGUUUGACGGUGAUAAAUUCAGAAUGGUUGGGGCCAAAAAGAAAAAAAUAGAUGAUGUAGCAAUGAUUGUGGAGACUCCAUUAAGGCCGAUGUGCAAAUUAGUGGCUAAAAUAUUAAGUUCGAUAAUUUAGAAGUCAGUCCUCUCCCCAUAAGGAAGGAGUUUUGAUAGUCUGCUUUAUUUUUCUUUCUACUACCCAAAUUAUUUUAGGAUUGGAGUUUGGGAUCUAUCUUGUCUUAUUUUAUUAUCAUUUCUGUUCUAACCUUUCUAUCUUUCUGUCAACAAAUGUGUGUCCCAUUUAUUUUUAUUUUUCAUUAUAUAUUGUUUGGUUGUCUUUCUUUUCUUUAGAGAGCUCUUUCUAUGAUGAUUCUAGUGAUGUAAUAUGCAUAUUGAAUUCACAGAUCUUUAAAUUCAAUCUAAUCCUGAAAUAUUGAGCCAAGAAGUUAAAAUUGAAAAAAGGAAAUCAUAUAAGAAAAGUAAAGUGUUGAGAUGCUUGAAGACCGAAUUAAAGCCUCACUUGAAUGGAUUGGGGUAAUAAUUUUGUGAAUCAAAAAAUAACUUGGUCAUGAAUGAGAAGGUCCAUCUCAAGCAUUUUGAAUGAAGAUUAAUCGAAGGAUCCAUAGUCUCCACGGUCUAAGAAAUAAAAAAAUAAAUUAGGGCCAAAAGAGCAUGAGUCGUCUAUUGAGAGGAAAGUACAAUACAAGUAGACCUGUAUGGUUCACAAGCUUAAAAGAAGUGACACACGUGUAUGUGCUUAAUCACAUUCAAUGUUGAAAAAAUUGUGUAUGAUCUUCAUGUUCUAUUCCUAGAUUGCAUGUUAUGUACUUGCGUUUUUAAGAAUUGAUAUGACGAAGACAUUUCAUUCUACUAUCCAAAUGUUGUGUCAUCCUUUAUUACCCCUUUUGAGCAUUAGUUUUAUUAUCUUUCAUACCCCUCUUUUGGAAUCAAAAUAGAUUUUUAAAAAGUAAAAAAAUAUAUUAAAAAAAUAAUAGAGUCAGAAAAGUGUCAAGAAAAAAAAAUAGAAUUAGAAAAAAAUAUCUCUCUCCCUCUCUUUCUAAAAAAAGGGAGAAGUGUCAAGAAAAAGAAAAAAAAGUUCAAAAAAAGAAAGAAGAAGAAAUCAAGCAAAAGAAUAAGAUUUCUGAACUAUGUUUGACUUGAUUCUUACUAUGACAAGAUACAUAGGCAGUCCUACUCUGGGUUCGGUCCAACCAAGUAAAAAUUCAAGUUACCUAGUAUGAAAUAAAACUGGGGCAAAGGUUAUGUUCCUUAUGAGACGAUUUCAAAAGUUGUACGUCUCACCCUAUGUAAUGUAUAUUUUGAGUCUUAUGUUGUUCUUUUUUUCUAACCCUAUCUAAAAGCCAAGUUACAAUCAAAGAAAGACCUUCAGAUCAAUCUUGAAGAUGUCAAGGCUAAGCAUGUUAUGGGUAUAUGAUGCUUCAUAUUUUGGGCACCACUUUCCUUCAUCAGCAUAAAAAAAUAUGAGAAAGUGAAAACCCUCCUAGACACUAUAAGGCGAUAAUGAGUUGCAAAAAAAAAAAAAAGAGAGUCGUAUUGGUGAAAACCCUCACAGGAACCAUACGACGACAGUGAGUUGAGAGAAAAUAAAAAAGAUAGAGGCUCGCUGGCAAAACCCAUUUGGGGAACCACUAGCUGAAUGAGGUCCGUAAUCUAGAGGCAACAAGUUCUAGAGCAGCCUCGAUUUCAAACUCAAUAAGUUGAAAAAAGUUGAUAAUGAUUAGUAUGGAUAGAUUAAAUUGUUUAAUUCAAAAUGCAUGUCAUAAUCGUUGUAAUCGGCUACUACAUUCAGAUAAGUUUUUCUUUUUGUUAUUUCGAAAAAAAAAGAUACCUAUUGUCUUUUUCUUUUCUUUUAUUAUUUUUAUUUUUAUAUCUUUGUCACCAAAUGAAAAAUCAUCGUCAUCUUUUGCAUUUUUUUGAGAUGAAUUCACGUCAAGUCAAAUGAGAAAGGGCUUCAAAACUUGCUACCAAUUCUUUCAAUUGUACAAAGCAAGACAAAGGGUUGAUGCACAAAGUUAACAUAUUUUAAAAUAAAGUAAGGUACUCAAGAAUACUUGUUAUCUGACAGUUUUUGGACUCAUAGAAAUAUAAAAGGUGCAUUAGAAGUUAAACCCAGAGGGAUCAUGCAAGGAAAAUGGGAUUUGAGUCAAAUACUUUCAGUAACCAGAAUUUGGGGUCAAUAGUACAACAAGCCAACAAUACCUAUAAAUGAUUUGCAAUGGAUCUGGCCAUAACAGGUGCAAGAACGGUCGCCUUAAUAGCCAAAUGCCACAAAUCAACCACCGUAUUUUUAAAUUUAAAAGUUUUCUUUGUAUGAAACAAAAUCACAUGUUACCUUUAAAUCAAGGGCUUCAAAGCCUAAAUAUCCAAAUGUGAAAUUCCUCACUUCUGUAAAGGCAAGAUGCAAUAUUGCUGCAUAUGUUAAGUAAUCACAAUCAUGGUGAAAACUCAUCAUCCUGUACCCCUAGGAGACACACUUUCUUUUCUGGGUAUUUCAGAUUUCAUUUGUUAGGUAACACACUCCCUAACUUGAACCAUUACUCCUAGAAGACGCACAUUCAAGUCGAGUCAUUUCAUUUAACCCCUAGGAGACACACUUCCUUGCCUGGGUAAUUUAAGUUUCAUUUGUUAGGUGACACACUUCCUAACUUUAACCUUUGCUCCUAGAAGAUGCACUUUUUAGUUGAGUCAUUUCAUUUAACUCCAAGGAGACGCACUUCCUUGUCUAGGUGUUUUAGUUUUCAUUCGUUAGAUGACAUAUUUCCUAACUUGAACCUUCACUCCUAGAAGACGCACUUUCUAAUCGAGUUAUUCUAUUUAGCCCUAGGAGAUGCAUUUUCUUGUUUGGGUAAUUCAAGAUUCACUUGUCAGGUAACGCACUUUUUAAUUUAAACCUUUACUUCUAGAAGACACACUUUCUAGUUAGAUUUCUCUACGUUAACUCUUAGGAGGCACACUUUCUAAUUUUGGUCAUUAGUUUUACUCUAAAGAGACACAUUUCUUUAUCAGGGACUUGAUUCACCAUCUCUACUGUAUUUUUCAAAAGUUGUGACCUGAUAACGCUCAUAAAAUGUUUCUAGUAUAAACUGGGGCAAAAAAUUUUGUUCAUGUUGUUUGUGUUUUACUUUCUGCUCAGGGCCUUUCUGAAUAAUGGGACUUUACUUUCUGGUAGGGCCUUCCUGAAUAAUGGAACUUUACUUUCUGCUCAGGGCUCUCCUGGAUAAUGAGACUUUACUUGAUGCUCAAGGCCCUCCUGGAUAAUGGGACUUUACUUUCUGCUCGGGGCCCUCCUGUAUAAGGGGACUUUACUUUCUGCUCAGGGCCCUCCUGGAUAAUGGGACUUUUCCUUUUUAGUUCACCUUUUACUUUGAGUUCAGUAACACAUUUGGAGAACAUGGUGAAGAAAUUAGAAGUCAGGAGCUCGCUUGAAGAACAGGGUGAAGAAAUAGCAAGUCAGGAGCCCGCCUGAAAAAUAGGGUGAAGAAAUAGCAAGUUAGGAGCUCGCUUGGAGAAUAGAGUGAAGAUUAUCAGUUGCAAGUUCAGGAGCCUGUCUGAAGAAUAGGGUGAAGAUUUUCAAAUUUAAGUCAUAAGAAAGUGUGAAGAACAAGUCAAUUUUUAAGUUUCUCUCCAAUACCAAGAAUAAAAAAAAGAGGAACAUUUCAUUUUUCUAAGAUUCAACUCAAAAUAACGAUUGUCUCACCACUUGAGAAGUCAUGAAGAUUCAAGUCAAGAUUCCAGAAAAAUUAUGCAUAGACAAGAUUUUUCACUUGUAUCUUCAUUUUCAAUUUUGUUAUUCAUUUGAAUGUAAAAGCAGAUUGUCGUGAAUUGGAAGCUCGACGGAACCCCACUCGAGUUCUAACUCAUUGUCUCACCAUUUACCUUUUUGAACUACAUGUGACCUGAUUCCCUUAUAACUUGGGAUAUGUAGGCUGUCCAAAAUCAAGACUCGUUCGCAUUUUCUUUAUAUAUCUUUUCGAAUAGUCAGAGGGUAAAAAAUUAUCUCUUUGUCUACUUCGUUGUAUGAAAACUCUUUGAGAUUUCACUCAAAGAGGGGCAAAAUGUUGGCACGUGAUUUUUGACCCACCCCCACCUCCCGAGUUUUAGCUUAUUUUUAGGUAUUAAAUAUUUAUAUUUUUGCCUGGUAUUUAUUUUAGCGCUUAUUUCAUUUUUUAUAAAUUUUAGACGAAAAUAAAUAAAUUUAUAUUUUGGGAUAUUUUUAUUUUUAUUUUUGUUUUUAAAAUAAUAAAAAAAUUCAAGAAAAAAUAUAUAUUUUCCUUUUUAUUUUAAUAAAUAAGCUAUUGGUUUUAUUAUUUUCUUAAUUAUAUUUAUUUUAGAUUAUUACAAACUUUUAUUAUAUUUUCUUAAAUAUAAAUAUCAAUUAGUAAAUAUUUUUAUUAUUAUUAUUUACUUUAAGAAUUAAAAAAAAAGGAUAAUUAUUCUAAAAGACUACCCAACCUUCCCCACUAUCCUAUCUUCACUCAACUUCCCUCCCACACCCCAUUAUCUGAUAUAACCCCCCAAAUAUCCCAAAAACGUACAUUGAACUAGAAAGAAAAAUAUUAUCAGACAAACAGAGAGGAAAAAUCAGUCAGAGAAGAAAAUCGGAGAAUAACUUAGAAAAAUAAAAAUAAAGAAGAGAAUCAAGUUCGGUCUCCUUUUGAAGUUUUCGGUGAAGGUUCUUGCUGCAUUACUUGUGUUAAUUCAUAUCUCAGGUUUUAUUUGAUCCUGUAUUUUUAUUCUAUAUAUUUUAUUGUAAAUUAAAUCAUGAAUAAAGUUGUUUCAAUGAUUUCAUGGAUUAUGUAGUACAUCUGAUUGUUGUGGUGUUGUGUUUUUAUUUGUAUUAUCAAUCGAAUCAAUGAUUAUCGUUUCUUGAUUAUUCAUUGAAUUUGAUCUUAAAGGUUGAGAUAUUUUGUUAAGAUAUAUGUAUGAUGAUUUGGUUUUCAUACAAAAAUUGGGGAAAAAAAAGAAAAGAAGAAAAGGAAAAAAUAUUACACAUUACACCUCACAAUUUGCACACACUACAUCAUAUACUCACUGUAAAUAUUCAUACUUCGCAUACUCCAUUUUUCAUGUAUUCACAGUAAAAAAAUCACUGAAAAGGGAUCCUCACUCAUGGAUACAUGGUGAAAGACGCGAGAGAGGAGAGAAAAUAAUAAUAAUAAUAAUAAUAAUAAUUAUUAUUAUUUUUAAAUAAUAAUAAUUAUUUUUAAAUAAUUAACAAUAAUAAUAGCGUAGAAGUAUCCUAAAGACACUCAUCGUUAAAAUUAACAAUAGUAAUAACAUAGAAGAGUCUUAAAAGACACAUCAUUUCAUAAGCUUAUCAUCCCUUCCAAAUAUUAAAUGUAUUUAAAUAUUAAAUAAAAGAUAAUAAUAAUAACAAUGUUAAUAAUGGUAAUACAAUAAUACUAAUAAGAAAAAUAAUAAUAAACAACGCAGUAGUAGUAUAGUGGGAGUAGUAGUAAUAAUAAUAAUAUAAUAUAAUAAAGGAUGAUGAUGAUGAUGAUGAUGAUGAUGAUGAUUAUUUAAGAAAAACAAUAGCAGUUUAGUAGAACAUACAUAGUAGUAGUAGGUAAUAAUAAUAAUAUAAGAAAAAUUAAUAAGUCUCCCAUAACUAUGAGGAUAAUAUUUUGUUUAAAAGAUUAACUUGAGUUUAAAUUAUAAUGUGACUAUUAUAAGAAAAAGUUGACAUUCUAUUAUGUCGGUCGAUUUUGAGAAUUUUUUUUAGGUAAAUGCUAGGUUUAAUUGUGUUAUUUUUAUAUCUCUAUUUUGAAAUUUUUUUUUGUGUAAAGGUAAAGUUUAGUCGUAUUAUUUUGGUAUAUCUAUUGUCGUAUUAUUUUGUUAUAGUUUACAGGUAAUAGAUGAGUGUCGGACAACUUUGAGGAAAUUUUUGUGCAAAAAUUAGAUUUAAUUAUGUUGUUUUGAUAUCUCUAUCAUCGUAUUAUUUUGUUGUAGUUUACAGGUGCCAGAUGAAUGUCAAUUGACUUUGAGAAACUUUUUUGGCAAAGGUUAGAUUUAAUUAAAUAAAUUCUCCAAAAGAUGUUGAAUUUAACUAUUGUAUUCAUCUUUAUUAUUCAAAUAAAUAUCCUAUUUACUGUAACGUUUGAACUUAAUAAAGUGAGGUAAACACACGAGAGACGCGUACACCUAAACAAGUAAUAAUAGUAUAGUUGUGGGAGUAGCACGUUGUAUUAAUUAAUACUAAUUUUAAAAGUAAUAGUAGUACUUAGUGGCGGUAAUAAUAAUAAUGCUAAUAAUAAAUGAUAAUUUAUAUAUAUUAUUAAUUUUAUAAGAGAAUGGUGUAGAUUAAUUUUAGUUUUAGUAAUUUUUGUUUUAAAAAAUGACUUUUUAACAAACAAAUGAAAGAAGAAACAAAGAAAAGGAGAUAAAAUGAAACAAGAGAAAAACAAACCACGGAAAAAAGGAAAAGAAAGGAUAAAAAAAGAAACAGAGUUUAGUUCUAUUAAGGGAAAACGCAUUAUUUCCACCCCAUAUUAUACAACAAAAGUCUAACCACACCUAAAUUAUAUAAGUGACCUAUUACAUCUUAACUAUAUAAAAGUGAUAUUAUUACCUCCCCGCGACCCCCAUUCUAAGGCGCAUGUGUUACACUUAUUUUAGGCGCGUCCAGCCUAUUAAAUAACAAAAGUAAACGGCUAAAAACAUUAAGGGAAAAGACAUCGUUACCACCUCAAACUAUAGUCAAAAAGUCGAAUCCACACCUAAACUAUAUAAGUGACCUAUUACACACCUUAACUAUAAAAAAGUGAUACCUUUUACUGACGUGGUGCUGACGUGGUAGCGCAUGUAAAACACUACACCACAUGCAAGUGGUGGUAUCCUGACAGGGUGUACAUAGUUUCACUUUUUUAUAGUUUAGGUGUGUAAUAGGUCACUAGUAUAGCUUAGGUGCGGCUUCGACUUUUCGGGUAUAGUUUGGGGUGAAAACGAUAUUUUUUCCCUUCUGUUAACUACAAAAUCUUAACCACUAGAGUUGGCAUGGUGGUUCAGCACCAUGGCCCUACGCAAGAGGUCGGGGGUUCGAUCUCCGCCUCUGCCAAAUGGAGCAAACUCUGUGGCCAGUUCCCUACCGCUUAGUACGCUGACAAAGGAACGGAGGACUAGUUUCACGACUGCCGGCUGUGGGGAUACCUUGGAAAACCAAAAAAAAAAAAAACUACAAAAUCUUUUUGGAUUAAUAUCAUUAUUUUCAAAUAUUCUUUUUAAUUCAAAUAUAUAAAUUAUAUGAAAAAUAUGCAUUGUGUUUAAAAAAAUAAAAAAAAGAGUAAUAAAUUUAUCUUCUCUUAACAAAUUGAUAUGUUAUUUGAAUUUGAAUUUAAAUGAAAUUUGAGUUGGAAUAGAGUUCUAACUUCUUAAUCUAUUUUCUAUAUAUAGUGCUACAAUUAAAUGUAAUAUUAAGCUUUCUUCCUUUUUUAGUUAUUGAUCAUUAGCUUCAUUUAUUGAUUUUACGGAAAAGGACCUAAAAUGCUUUAUAACUACAUAAAAUAGUGCAAAAAUGCCCCCUGUCUAUCUAAUGGGCCUAAAAUGUCCUUUCCGUCUACCUAUUAGGCAUAAAAUGUCCUUUACGCCUACAUGUUGGUCCUAAAAUUUCGUUAUCGUCUAUCUAUUGGGCUUAUUUUGCCCUUUUAUUUAGGCAAAUUACAUGAAAAGACCAUCUUUAAGACUUAACUACAUAAAUAAUAAUAUUUUUUCAAUAUUACAAAAAUAAAAUUUUUUUUUACAUAUAUAGCCAUUUUAAAAAAUAAAAAAUAAUAAUUAUAAUUCCUAAUUUAAUGCUAUAACUAAUUAUCAAUUCACCUUACUUUAAGAGAGAUAUAUUUACAAUCUUCAAAUUAAAAGUGGAAAAUAUAAUCCAUGCUUUCAAAUCUUUCUCUCUCUUGUAUUCAAAAUUCAAAUAUUUUAAACUAAACUAAGGAUUUCAUUAUUUGCUCAUGUAUGUUUCUUUUUGUUUUCAUGUAUGUUAAUAAUCUAGUAUUAUUUUAUUAUCGUGUAUAUUUUAUUCUAAUGUAAUGAAUUAACCAUAAUGUUUUAUUUAUAAAUAUUCAAGAAAUAAAAAUUAUUAUUUUGAAAUAUAGAUUUACCUUGUAUUUUUGUUAUAUAAAUAUAAUUUAUAUCAAAGUUAGAUUAUUAUUAAAUUUUUUAUAUAAUUUAUGGGAUAAAUAUUCAUGGUAUAUCUAAUUAUGUCGGAAGUACUUGUUAAAAAAAUAUUAAUUAAAUAUAAGUAAUUUUUUCAGUAUUACAUGUAUAAAUUUUUUAUAUCUAAAAUACACCAUAUAUGUUUAUGGUAUAAAUAUAAUUUAUAUGGUAUAAAUAUAACUUAUAUAAUAUAUAAAUAUACCAUGAAUUUUUAUGAUAUAAAUAUACCAUAUAUUUUUAUGAAGGUAUCGUGAAAGCAGGCAAUAAAAAUGAAAAACAUAAAAUUUUGAUAUUAUAUAAAAAAAUGAAUGAAUAGAGACUUCCAUAAAAAUAGGCAAUAAAUAAGAAAUAUGAGAAUUUAAUAUAUAAUUAUUUUUCUAUAUAUUAGAAUCUAUUAUAAAAGUAAAUAUUUUAUAUGCUAUAUCUGACAACCAACUAAUACAACUAUGCAUAUGUAAUAAUUUUUUUAAAAUGGCUAUUUAUGUUGUUUUUUCUUUUAUUUAUCAGAUCAAUUUAGAACGAAGAAAAAUUGAUAUUGUGCACUAUUUAUUUGAUUAAUGUUACUAAAAAGGAUAGGGACAUUAUGUAGUUUAAUAAAGAUAAGUUGUGGUAUUAUGUAGUUUUUUCUUAAAUAAAAGGACAAAAUAGCCUCAAUGGGUAGACAAAAAGGUCAUUUUAGGCCAAAUAGGUAGGCAGGAAGGACAUUUUAGGCCCAAUAGGUAGACGAAAGAUAUUUUGCAUAAUUUCACAUAGUUGAAAGGCAUUUUAGGCCCUUUUUUUGUUGAUUUUAUCAUUGACUGCAUUUUCCAUACUAUUCAUUUUCUAGAAACUUUUUAUAUUCUACUGUUUUCAUUUUUAUAUGCAGAUGAGUGAUGGUCAUAUACAAAUUAAUUAUUGUUGUUAUUAUGUUAGAAUCUGAAUCCAAGUAAGUAAUAAUUUUUAUUUUAAUUUUGUUUGUUUGACUUUGACAAAAACAAAUGCAUCUGAUUAUGUAGAUUAAAAUUGAGAAUUUUAGUCAAGCAUUUAGCUUUUUUAAAUGUUAAUUUGUAUUAUUAUUUUAAAUGUGAUCAUAUUAUUUUAUGUGUUUUUGUAUGAUCUAUUUAUUUAAUUUGGUGUUGAGAAAAUUUUUGGAUGAAGAUAAGAAAAUUAAGAAACUAGCAAUUCAAUAACUUUUGUUUUGAUGAAGAUACAACAACAUACCAUUGUAUUUUUAAAUUUUAAACAUAAGAGAUUAGGAGGAGGAGGAGGAGGAGGAGGANNNNNNNNNNNNNNNNNNNNNNNNNNCUCAAUAAAAUAAUCAAUAUUAGCAAUAUAUAAAUCUUUAAGUUAUAAAUAAUAUAUAAUAUCAUUUAUAAAAAUAUGAAACAUAAAUUUUUAAAAAUAAUUACAGUGUUAUUUUUUUUUUAUAUAGAUUUGAUUAGAGGUGGGGGUGGAGGCGCGACGGGAGGGGGGGCGGUGUAAAAAUCUUUUUUAAAAAAAAAAAAUUGAAGGGAGUGUAUGUAGAUGGUGAUGGGUGGGGAAUAGAAAAAAAUAUUUAUUUUUGUAUUUUAUUAGAAAUAUUAUGACAGUUGGUUUUCUUAAGCUAAUAUGACUUAACAUGCUCGAUGACCUUCCCAGUAUGAAAUAAUUAAAAAUAAUAUUUUAAUAUUAUCUGCGCAUCGCACGGGCACAUAUACUAGUAUAUAUAUAUAAGCAAAACUAAAACAAGAUAAGAUGUCAAGUGACGACAUUUUAAAAUAGUCACGUGACAGUUUUUAGGACAAAAUAAAAAAAUAUUUUAAGACAAAGUUAAAAAUAUUGUAAUAAAAUUUUUAAAUUGAAUGAUUAAGUAUUUGAAUUUGAAAUAUAUUACACAAGUUGUAUUGCUUUUAAUUUGAAAAAAAAAAAUGCGGUAAUAGUGAUAGUAGUAACAAUAAUAAGAAUCUAUACAAUAUUUUUAUAAAUAAUAAAUUGUAUUGUACAAUGAAUAAAAUAAAUUCACAAAAAUAUCUUGAAUCUUAUAUUAGAUAAUUUGUACUUUGAAUUUUGUAAAUUUUGUCGUAUUAGUAGUUAUAACAAAAAUAAUAAGUAUAAUAAAUAAAAGAAUCGACUGAAUUGAUUUUAAAAUUUUCUCUAAUUAAAAUUUAUAUAUUAUAGGAUCAAUAUUCAUUUUAUUUUUAAAAAUAAAUUAAGGAUAAGGAAAAAAUAAUAAAAUGAUCUUCUUAUAACAACUGAUAUGAUAUAAUGUUUAAAUUUGAACUUAAAUAGAAUUUGAAUGGAAAUUGAAUUCUAACUUCUUAACAUCUCCUAAAUUUAUAAUAUUUACUAUUAUAUAUAAGUUUUUGAGAACAACAACAACAACAACAACAACAACAACAACAACAACAAUAACAAUAAUAAUAAUAAUGAUGAUGAAUUGUUGUCGUAUUAGUAGUUAUAAUAAAAAUAAUAAGUAUAAUAAAAAAAUCAUCUGGAUUGAUUUUUAAAUAUGCGUUUUAUUUAAAAAAAUUUAAGGAUGAGAAAAGAAUAAUAAAAGGAUCUUCUUAUAACUAACAAAUAUUUAUAUAUGAACUUAAAUAGAAUUUGAAUAGGAAUGGAAUUCUAACUUCUUAACAUCUCCAAAAUUUAUAAUAUUUACUAUUAUUUAUAAGUCAAUAAUAAUAAUAAUAAUAAUAAUGAUGAUGAUGAUGAUGAUGAUGAUGAUGAUGAUCAUAAUUCUAUCAAUUUUAUGACUUGAAUUAUUUUGGGUAACUUUUUAAAUUUGAUUUGGAGAAACAAUAUCUUCUCAAAGAUAAAAUCUAUAUAUAUUUUUAAAAGUUAUCUGAUAUAUUUACUCACUCACACUUUAUUUACUAACAAAAGCACUAAAAUCGGAAUUAUAAUACGUAGUCUUUUUUUAAUACGUCAUUUUUUUGAAGGAGUCCUAUUUUAAUACACACUCUUCUAAUCUUCUCAAUUUGCUUUAACUUUAAGAUAAACAAUUAUUAAAAAAUCAGUUAUCGUUGACUAUAUAUGUAAGACGAGAAUCUGCCGCAAUUCAAAUACUACAAAGACCACUAUAUAUAAGACCAACGAACAUUGACAUAUGUAUUUCAAUUUGAUCUUUUGACUUGAGCAUCAAAGUUAGUAACUUUCUUCUCUAUUGCUUCUCAUGAAUAUGUAAUUUUCAGAGAACUAUGUGUUGCUUUAUUUUUUUUGUCUGUGAAAUUGUAGAUAACAUACAUAGUUGAAGAUUUGUACAUCCUAUUUUUUUUCGAGUGCUACAUACUGUUUGAAAUUUCAUAUCGUUGCCAUCAUCUUAUUAAUUUCAAAUAUUUAUCUUAGGUAAAAAUAGUACUUAGUAGUAUAUUUUUGAAUUGAAAGACAGAUUCUUUUGAAAUUUGAAUGAAAAUAAAUAAUUUUAUGCAUUUUAAAUUAGUAAAAUAAUAAGAUAGUCUCAUAAAAAAUAUUUAAAUUAUAAAUGAGAUUAUUUGAAUUUUGUUUAGAUAAACACAUUUAUCUAAAACAAAAAUAACUAUCUAUUUUCUCUUUGAGUGUUUUUAUUUUUGUCUUUAAAAAUGAAAAGAUUUUUUUAGAAAAAAAAACAGAAGAAAGAUAAGAAGAGUAAAUCAAAAAAGAAAAAUAAUUAGGCUUCAUAAAUUCAGUCUCUAUAUAGUUAGUGACCUAAAGCGGAACUUCAAAAUGAAACCUUAAUGAAAAAAGUAUUAUUAUUAUAUUUUAUUUAAAGUUUAUUUCUGUACUUUUUGAGAUGCAAAAUUAUGAAUAAAAUUAUUUUAUGAUCGACUUCUCCAAUAAUUUCUUUUCUAUUAAUAGUAUAUAUAAAUCAUUCAAUUUUACUUGAGAUGCUGAUUCUACGUAAAAUUUUAUCAAUUUUAAUUUUAAAAAUGUUUCUUCAAGUGAGGCAAUUCUUAUAGGAACUCUAUAAGCUAUAUAUACAUUUGAAAAAUAAUAAAAUAGCUUAUUAAGUUACCCCUAUUAUUAGAUUUAUUUUUAGAAUAUAGAAGUACAAAAAAAAAUCUUCCUUAAUAUUAAGGAUAAAGUUGAAAACAAUUGUCAACUUUACUCUUGAAUUCCUAAAGUGAUAAUUUUUUUGAGAUAAAACGACAUUAAAAUGAAAAAGAAAAAAUUAAAAAUACUCAAUAUUUUUUUAGAUAAAGCGACAUUAAAAUGAGAUAAACCUUAAUUGCUAAAAAAUGAAACCCCAAAAAAUUGAGAGCCUAAAGCAGUCUUUGCUGCCUAAAGCAGUGUUGGCUUCACUUGCUUUAGGUUGAAACUGACACUGCUAUUUUCAACAUCUUAUUUGACAUUUGUUAUGAAUUUGUGUAAUAUUACCCAAUUAGAUGCUAUUUUCAACAUCUUAUUUAGCGUUUCUUAUGAAUUUGUGUAACAUUACCCAAUUAGAUCCAGAAUAAAUUUUUUAAGUUUUGUUAUAUAUAAUAUAUAAGCGAUAUAGAUCUCAAGAAUUGAAUAAAGAAAAGAGCAUAAAACCCACCCACCCCUGUGCCAUAUACAUGAUUUUGCACAAAAACAAAAAUAAUAAUAAUAACUAGAUUCCUUAAUUUAUAGUAACAAAAUACACGUUUUAAUUUUGUUUUACUUAAAUUUUUAGUAGUUCUUUAGUUGUGAGUACUCCUAAAUAUAUGCUUCUUUUUUAUCUCAUAUAUAAUUAUCCAUCUUUAAAUAAAUUAAUUAAAAAGCUUUAAGUAAUUUUAAAUUUUCAUUUAUUUUAUCAAUUUAGACGAUUAAUGCGAUCAUAAAAUCGAGAUUGUUGGAUCUCUCAAACUCAAGAACAUAUUUUAAAAAAAAGUUAUAAUUUUAAUCAAAUACAAAAUUAAAAAGAAUAACUGAAAGAUAAGGAUUUAAAAUUUUUAAAGUAAUAAUAAUAACAACAAUUUUAAACUAAUUUUGAGAAUAUAAUGAAGUAAUUAGAUAAUAUACUAUAUCAAUAUUCACAAAUUUCAAACUGAAAAGAUGGAAGUAAUAAACAAAAAUUUUAAAAUAAAAAAGCAAUAUUAAUAAUUUAAUAUUUAUAAAUUGUGAAUAAUAUAAUAAAAAAUUAUGAAGCAUAAAAGUUUUUUUUACAAUUAUAAAAUUAUCUAAUUUAUAUAGAUUUGAUUUGAGGUGGAGGGGGUUAAACCUAACAUCUUUAAAUUGUGAACACUAUAACAACAACAACUACAACAAAUCCAGUGUAUUCCCAUAAAGUGAGGUUUGGGGAGAGUAAUACACAGUUCAUACCGCUACCUCCGAAGAAGUAAAGAGGUUGUUUCCGAUAGACUCCCGACUCAAGAUAAAGAAUACUAAACAAGGGGAUGGAUGACAAAACAGAAAUUAAAAGUAAGAAAUGAUAAAAUAGAAAUCAAAGCAAUACAAAAUACGAGAAAUAAGGGCAACACGAAAUAAGUAAAUAGGAACUAAGAAAUAAGGAAUAGGACACCCACCUAGUUGUAACAUACACUCACAAACCAAAGAGACCUAUGUACACAGUCCUAGGAUUACUAACCCGGUUACACCGGGUCUCUCCUGACUGCUAGCUACAACCCACAUGCUCACACUAGCCUUCUACCCUUAUCUUGAAACAUAAUUUUUUUUUAAAUUACGUGAUUAUUUUCAUUUCUAUAGAUUUGGUUAGAGCUAGGGAUGUGGUGGGAUUAGGGAUGAGAGCCCAUUUCAUUGAGAAAUAUUAUAAUAGUUCAAUCUCUUUUGUUAUGGUAAUAUGAAUUAGCAUGUUUAAACAAGAUGCUCAACCUGAAUUAGUUAGAAAUAUUACUUUAAUAUUAUCUGUGCAUCGCACAGGUACGUAUACUAGUAUAUAUAUAUAAAAGUAAAACUAAAAGCACCACAAGAAGUCAAGUGGCAGAACAAUAGAAAGCCACGUGACCGAUUUUAGGAAAAGGCUAUAAACAUUAUAAUAAAAAAUUUAAUUUAAAAGAUUGAAUAUUUGAAUUUGAAAUGCAUUAUCUCUUUAAAAAAAUUGUUAUCUUAAUAAAUAGAAACCCAUAAUUGAAGAGUUCUAAUAGACUCUUACUUUUUCAAACCUAUAUCUUAUAAAAUUUAAAUAGUAUAUAUAACUCCCUUUGAAAAAGCAAGAGUCUAUUAGAACUCUUCAUAAUAAUAAUAAUAAUAAUAAUAAUAAUAAUAAUAAUAAUAAUAAUAAUAAUAAUAACAACAACAACAACAACAAUAAUAGUGGCACUACGUAAUAGUUGUAUUAAUAUUGAUAGUAAUAAUUAUAAUCUAUUAUCUAUAUAUAUAAUCUAUAAUCUAUAAUCUAUAAUAUAUUAAAAGUGUGAAGAUCCUUAGAAAAGUGAGAAGAGCCUUAAAAAAGUGAUUUGAACUUUUUGCCCUUCAUUAAAAGAUUUUGUAAUAGACAAAUUCAUCUUUUCACUUAGUAUUAUAAAUUAAUUAAAAUCUUUUUAUCUAAGUAAUAAAUUAUAUGGUAAAAAGAGUUAGGACAAUUACUAUUUAAGGAGUCCUAGAAUAUGUGGUAAGAAAAAUUAAAUUUUACUUAUUUAAUAUUAAAAAAAUUUAAUUUGCGGUUAACAAAAAUAUAUGGUAAGAAGAAUUCAAAUCAAAUCUUAAUUAUUAAAUACUAAAAGUCAUUUAAAUUGGGGCUAAAACUUGCCCCAUUUUAUUUCUUCUUAUCGAGUCCUUUUAGGACAUUUGAGUCCUUUUAAAUCUUGGUAAAAAAUCAUAUGGUAAAAAAAAAAUUUGGAUUAAUGUCCUUUUUUUCUUCUUAUAGUGUCCUUUCGGCACACUUUCACUUAACUUUAUAAUUUUAUUAAUAUACAACCUUUUUUAAGGUGUCCUAUUAUUAGGAUAUUUAAGGUAAAAAAUUAUAAUAUUUAAUAUUUUUAUAUUAAUUAAAAUUCUACCUAUAUAAAGAAAAAUUCUAUAUUUCUAAUUCUAUGUAUAUAACAUACGCUUCUUCCCCACAACGUUUUUUAUCUUUCUUAUUUUGGUUUGUAUUUAAGUCGGCUUCUUGCAUUCAUCAUCAUCAUAUUUUUUGUCUUUUUUCUUUUAGUUAAUAGCUUUAAAGAUUAUAUUGAAUUAUAUGUGACAAAAAAUUGAUAAUAAAUUCUCCCUUUUUAAUAAUUUCUUGUAUUUUAUCUUUCAGGUAAAAAUUUAUGAUCGAAAAUAGGACAAAACAAACAUGUUAUUGUCGAAGAAAUAACCAGAAAAUUUAAAGGUUUAUCUCUUUCUUUUUAUUUUUUUCUCUUUUUCUUUGCUCACCGUAAGCUUUUACUAAUGGGUGUCCAACUUUGUGAUUUUCAGAUUUUCUUUAGUAGUAUGAACCAAACAUGUAUGAUGAAGGCUUUGAAGAAGUGAUCCAAGAAGAUUCUCAAAGGGAGUGGAUUAUUUGUACGCACAUGAAUCUUGUGUUAUCCACACUCAGUUGUGGGAAAGUCUUCAUUAAUGGCCAUAUUGAUCAGAUAUAUUAUUGACUUCGAGCCACGAAUUUAUCAGAAACAAUUUUUUUACAUUGUAAAGGUUGGAGUGAAUUAGCGUAUAUUCUACCCUUUUUAUACCCUACUUGUUGGAUUACAUUAAAUAUUUUAUUGAUUUUAAACUUUGAUUGUUGAUUCAAAAUGUGAUGGUAUGAUUUUGAGAUGUCACGAUAUGUAUAUGAUUAAUUUGCGUGAUUUUGCCUUGAAUGUAUAGUCUUCUAGAGUAAUUUCGAUCAUGGCAGAGACAACUUAACAUGAAAGUAUUUUAUGCAAUGUAGAACCUCAAUCGAAGCAUGCCUCUAAUCAAACAAAUGUGUGUAUGACAAUAAAUGAAGAUUGCGCUAGCUGAGAAGUAAUUGCAAGACCCAAUUUAUCUUAGAUGAUCAUUUUUAAAUUGAAAAUAUAAACUUCUUUCAGUUAUAGGAAAAAGUUGAAGCAAGCCACAACGAUAUACGUGAUUAUGAUGAGAUCUGUCAGUGAGAAGAAAAAUUGAAUUAAUAAGAAAUUGAAUAGUUGAUCCGUGAAUAGAAUUAGUUUAAUUUUUUUGUUAUAUACUAAUUAGUUUUGGAUCCUAACGUGCAUUUAAAUAAUUUGUUUUCCGAUUUUAGUAAUUAUAUGACUGCUGUAUCUUUCAUGAAAAAAUAAAUAUAAUUUAUAUGUCCUCUAGACAUACUCUAAAUGGUGCUUCGAUUGAAUCAUUAUAUUUGUAUCGUGAUUUUAAAAUCGAUACAUAAACGUACCAUAUAAUCCACUAAUGUAUUUAAACAAUAACAUAUUUAGUGUAAUCCUCAUACCUUAUUGUUACCUUUGUAGGGGGUAGGGAUACUGUUGUAGAUGCCCUCGGCUCAAAGAAAUUUUUGUCAAGUAGGACUAAUAUAAUUGUGACAAAAGAAACAAAAAAAUCCUGUUGAAUGAUUAAAAUGCAGUGUAUGUAUAGGUAUUUGUUUGAAUUUCCAUUUUAAUGUUUUAAUACGUUUGUUUUUGCAUUUGAUCACUAUAAGUACCACAAGGUAUCGAUAUAUAUCAUAUAUAUGGGGAUAUUAAUCGUUAUAAUAAGUUUUAAACAUAAGGCUAAGUUUAACUUUUGGGACAUUCGUCAUGAUUCAUAUCUUCUUAUUUUGGUUCUAUACUGUUAAAUUUUUUAAAUUUUUUUACUAUUUUUUGCUUUGAUGAUAUUUUAAAUAUUUGUGGGGUAAGGGGAGGGAGGGGGUUAAUAAUACUUUUAAUGUCUAGAAUAUUUAUUUUAAUAGGUGAAAUAUUAUUUUUCACGUAAUACAAUUAUUUACUCGCAUGUCAUUUGUGGAAUGUCAAAUUAGUUUGUUGUGUCUAAUUGGAACAAAGUUAUAUAUAGUAUUAUAUUUAAUUGGCAUUUGCUAAGUUUAAGUGUUUAAAUGAAAUUUUUGGACCAGUUUGAGGGUAUGCAUAUAUUUUUGGCCUUUUAAUAAUGUUUUUUUUUUUUUUUUUUUUUUUUUUUAAUUUUGUUGGUAUGUGAUAUGAAAAUGAAUCUAGGCUACUUUGUACUUUAUGCCAGCAAUCUUCUAAAAUAAGGAGAUCAUUUAUUUGAAUAAUGUAUUUAAUAUAAGUAUUGUAGAAGCCCAGUUUACAAACAUAAACACGAUUUACAUUCGAUGUUUAAAUCAAGUUAUUUUUUUGGUAAUUAACUUUGUUGCAUUAAUCACCAAAGUGUUGCAUUACAUACCUAAUAGCUAUGAAUUACAUUUUGAUUCCUAGGAUUGGUUCUAACACAACUAAAUAGAUAAUCUCCUUAGCAAUAGCAUCACUGGUUCGACUUUGUUUCUCAAAAAUUCUCAUGAUUCAUUCAAUCCAAAUGGCAUGGCUAAUUUCUGUACUCAUCAGCAUGAAGAUAAGGGCCACUGAGUGGACCAAGUUAUCAUAUGGACUAAGUAUUUUCACCAAAUUUCUCAUAGAUUGUGUAGAUUUCAACUUAUCAUCUAAAAUUUUAUUUAUUAAAUUAUAUCCUUGAUCAUCUCAAAACAUUGAUGUGAAUACUUGAAAAGCGUUGGUGAUCUUCUUAAGGAACCAAUGUCAAUCAAUAUCACAAACACACCAAAAAAAAAAAAGAGAAAUCAUCUUUGAGUAUAUUGAGUGGAGAAUAUUAAGAAAUAGAGAAACAUAAAGGAGAUAGAGAACUCCUAAUUAAUAUCCAACAUGUACUAGUACCUAUAUUAUGCUUCAUCGAAGUUGUCCUCUUUCACACUCGAGCAAUUUUUAAAGAAAAAUCGUUAUACAUAUAAAUUUUCUUAUGCUCAUGUACCUGUGCUUUAGAGUUUUCCAUAUUCAAAUAUUUAAUUAUGCCCCAGUUAAUUUAGCAUUUCAUCUUAUGUUUGGCUAUUAGAUUGUACUGCUUUUCUUAUUAAUUCUUUCAAAACUUAAUUAAGCGAACUAGCUAUUAUCAAAGACAUCUAUCAAUUAAUAUCUCUAAAUGUUGUGGUUGGAUAGAAAUACCACACACUCAUAUGUUCAAAAUGUUAUUUAAUAGAUAUCUUACAUCUAAUUUUUUGUCAUUUAAACAAUGAAUAUAAUAUUGCAACUUCAAUUGUAAUAUAAUAUAAUAUAUUUUAUUCUUUUUAUAUGUAAUCUUUUGUACUGAUAAAAAAUACACGUGCAGCGCACAUAUACUAAACUAUUAAAUAAUAAAAGGAGAAGUACGUAUAGUGGAUAAAAAAAUUAAACUAAAGAUAACAAUAAAAAAAAUAAUAAAUAAAAUAUGAUUAUAACGCAAGUAGUAUUACUAAUAAUAAUAAUUAAAAAGAUCGUGGUUAUAACCCAAGUAAUCAAGACUUUCAGCAACUAAAAAGAUCGUGAUAUUAUUUAAUUGAUGCUACUUUUUAAUCCAACUAAUCCUAACUUUCAGCAAUAUAAAGAUAUUCUAGUCAGAUGACAAUUUUGAAUUUAUACAACUACUUCUAUAAUUUUAGAGUUUUAGUUUUAUCUCAACUCUUAGUGCUUAUCAUUAUUUAAUUUGAAUAAAAUUUUUGAAGUGAUGUAUUAAGUAUUUGAAUUUGAAAUAUUUUAUCCCCUUUUAAAAAAGAAAUUCAUUAUCUUAACAAAAUAUUCAUAAUUGAAGAGUUCUAAUAGACUUUUACUAUUUCAGGCUAAUCUCUUUUAAAAUAUAUUGAAGUAUAAUUUAUUUACAUAUUAAUGAAGGAUAAAAAUGUUAUUAAAAUAAUAAUAAUAUUUAGUAGUUGUAGUACGUAGGAUAUAUAGUAGAAUAAAUAAUAAUAAUUAGUAGAAGAAGUAGCAUUACGUAGGAUAAGGUCUAAUAAUAAUAAUAAUAAUAAUAAUAAUAAUAAUAAUAAUAAUAAUAGAGAAGAAUUAUAUAAGAUUUAAAAUAAAUUAAUUUAUUUUUUAAUAAAAAAUAAUAAAAGAGAACAAAAAGGAAAAAAAUAUAUGGAAAGGUUAAAAUAAGUUGAUACUAAUAUUUUAAAAUUAAUAUCAUAAAUCUAAAAUAUUAUUUUUUAUUUCGUUUGUUUUUAUUAUAGAGAACACCUAAUUGGUAUCAUUAAUUUCAAAUAUAUAUUUUUUGCAAACUCAAAAUAUGUAAAAUAUAUAUUUUAGAAUCUUAUCUUUCUAAGAUUCUGAAAAAAUUUAAAAUCUUGAAUUUGAAAUACAUUAUCCUUUUACGAAAAAAAAAAUUCAUUAUCUUAAAAGUUAAACCCAUAAUUGGAGAGUUCUAAUAGAUUUUUACAAUUCAAAACUUAUAUCUUUUAAAAUAUAAAUACAAUAAAAUAUAUUUAAAUAUAAUUUAUUUACAUAUUAAUAAAAGAUAAAAGUAUUAUUAAAAUAAUAAUAAUUCGUAAUAGUAGUAUUAAGUAGGAUAUGAUGUACAACAACAACAAUAACAACAAAAAUAAUAAUAAUAAUAGCGAAGUAUUAUAUAAGAUUUAAAAGAAAUUAAUUUAUUUUUUAAUAAAAAUGAUAAAAAAGAACAAAAGCGAGAAAAACAUAUGAAAAGGUUAAAAUAUGUUAAUGCUAAUAUUUUAGAAUCAAUAUCAUUAAUUUUAGAUAUUCUUUUUUAUUUCAUUUAUUUUUAUUGCAGAAAACUCCUAAUUGGUAUCAUUAAUUUGGAAUAUAUUUUUUUGCAAACUCAAAAUACGUAAACUAUAAGAUAAUCAUGACAUUUUAGAAUCUUAUCUUUCUAAAAAAUUGAUAUCACCAUUCAAAUUUGACUUUGAAUGAAAUUUUAGUAUGCAUGAAUAUCCAGGUUUAUAUAUAUACACACCUUUAGUGACACAUAUAUCAGUAUAAGCUUUCUUCUUCUCUUUUAAUUGUUAAUCAUUUUCAAAUUUAGAUUUUAUUUCUCUCAAGAGAAUAUUUCAUGAUCAUUUCAUUCACAAAAGUACUGAUUAAUCUUUCUUUACAUUCUCUAUACUAUUUUAUUGCAAACACCAAAGGUCAGUCUGUUCUUUAUUUUUUAAAAUUGCUUUUACUUUUGAUGUAUUUGUAUAUAUAAAAAUUUAUAGCAAUGAUUAGUUCCUCUUUGAUAUUGUUAUAUAAAUAUAUUCUAAUUCUUCUUUUAUUUUUAUUCGUUUCUUUUUCAUAAGAAUAAUUACAUUUAUUUGGUCACAAUUUUUUUUUGGUGAUUGCCCAGGUUAUUUGCUUAAAUCUUAUUUUCUUCAUCCGUCAAAUACUAAUUUCGUUUCUUUUUUUCAUAAGAAUAAUUACAUUUAUUUUCUCACAUAUUUUUUUUGGGUGAUUGCCCAAGUUAUUUGCUUGAAUCUCGAUUUCUUCAUUCAUCAAAUACUAAUUUUGAUAGUAAAAUUUUUGGUUUUUGACUUGGUCGAUUUAGCUUUUUUUUUUUUUUUUUUUUUUGUGUGUGUAUAUGCAUGCUUUUAUAUCAUAUUUUGUGAAUUAGUUUAGACUAUUAUGAUGUAAGAUGAACAUUGCCAUAAUAUGAUAAUAAUAAUAACAUCCUUUUAUAUUUUGAAUUAAAUUAGAAGCUAUACAAAUUCAGUAGAAAUGAUAAGAUCCUAUGAUCCCAAAAAGUUUCACUUCUUUAUUUUAUUUAAUGAAUUACUUUUAAAAUAUUCUCUUUCAUUUUUGAAAAUUUUAAUAUUAAAAUAUAUCUACAUUUAAAUUUGAGUUUAUCAACGAAAUUUUAUAUUGAAAGAAGGAUUUUAAAAAAAUUAAUCAAAAAUUUAACAUUGAAACUUUAAAUUUAAUACUAAACAAUGUUGAGAUGGUUAUAAAGUUUUAUAUUUUUUUUGUAAUAAGUAAUAUUAUAAAUUGUAUGUGCAUAGUUUUUUAAUUGAGAGUGAUAAAUUUUUAAGUUUGAAAUAAAAAAUUUUGAAUUAGAGAAAUCAAUUACUUUAAAUGCAGUUUACAGUUGAUUUUGAAUCGAUAGACAAAAAAGAUUAAAACUAGAAAUGAAAGAAAAAAUUGUACUCACGUAUCUUAUUAGUUAAAAAUAUAAACGUAAAAAUCUAACUACAAUAUAAUAAUUAUUUAAUAUUGUAUAUUAAUUAUUUUUGAAAAUCAACAACAAAAUAUGGUUAUACAAAAUAGUAAUUUCAUUCUUUUCAUAUAACAACAUCUAAAAUAAUUGCGAGUAUGGAUUUUACUAUUAACAAUUAUUUUUAGUAUUCUAUAAUCAUAAAAUAUGUUAAUAUAAUGUAAUUAAAAUUUUUAAAUAGUUUAUUAGUUCAAAUGAAUAAGUUAGUAUUUUUUAAUGAUACUCUUAAAAAAAGAAGUAUUCCGCACAUCUUGCGGGUACUUAUACUAGUAUUUUAUAAAACUGAGGAUGAAGCAUCACAAUUAGCCAAGUGGUAAGCUACUGAGAAGCCAUGUGACAGUUUUAAGACAAAACUUAAAGUAUUGUAAUAAGAAAAUUUAAAAUAUUUGAAUUUGAAAAUAUUAGUUUCUUUUUUUAAAAAACAAAUAUGAUCAUUAGCUUAACACUAACAACAUAAGAUUGAAGGGUUCUAAAUAAACUCUACUAUUUCAUAAACUUAUUCCUUUUAAAAAUUGUUAACUAUAUUUCAAUACAUUUGAUUUAAAUAUUAAAUGAAAGAUAAAAAUAUAAAAUAAUAAUAAUAAUAAUAAUAGUAAUAAUAGUAAUAAUAAUAAUAAUUAAAAACUAAAAAAUAAAUAAUAGUAGUACUAGAGAUUUCUAUCAAACAUGAAAACAGUGGAAAAUUCAAUUGUUAAUUAUUUUAGUAGUGCAUUAAUUACCAAUAAUUUUUCAGAUUUUAAAUUUUUAAACAUAUCAAUGAAAGUAAUUUUAAUUGAAAUUUGAAUGAAUUAAAAUUCAUUUUAAUAAUAAUAAUAAUAAUAAUAAUAAUAAUAAUAAUAAUAAUAAUAAUAAUAAUAAUAAUAAUAAUAAUAAUAAUAAUAAUAAUAAUAAUAAUAAUAAUAAUAAUAAUAAAUAAUCAAAUGUUUCCACUAAUCAUCUGCACCUAAAUUCAGUUUUGAAGCCUAUUUUAAUGGAAUUAUAUUUCCACAAAAUAAGGCUAAGAGAUAAUUGUAAAUACAAAUUCAAAUAAAAUCAUGUUUUUAAAUUUACCUUCUUUAAUUAUCUAGUUUUUAAACCUAAGAUUUCACCUUCUAGUUUUUUUAAAUAAUAAUCUUUGGCCUAUUGAAAUAUCGUUUACGAAAAACUAUUACCAAACCUACUAAUCAAUAAAUUAAUAAUAAUAAUAAUAAUAAGUCACUUGACAUUAUUAUUAAAUAAACUAUCAUUGUAAUUUAUUUGAAUUUUAGAUAUAAAAUGAUUAAGUUAAUUUACAUUUCCAUUUGAACUUGGAUUUUUUUUUAAAAAAUUACGUUUCACUAUGCCCAAUUUUACAUGAAUUUCAGGCGAAAUUUUAUUUAUAGGAUAAACACAAUUUUUAUUUUCUUAAAAAAGAGCAUGAAAUAAAAAGAUAAUGUUGAGUUUUUUGUUAAGGUUAAAUUUUCAAACUUUGAAUUUAAAAGAUAAGUUAUAGGUUCUUCUAGAAUUCUAAUUGAAAACCAAUUCCAUACUAUAUAAAGACAAAAUUUAGUUCACUCUUUUUUAAGAAAAUUCCUAUAUACUAAGGACUCCUAACAACAACAACAACAACAACAACAACAACAACAACAACAACAACAGUAGCAGCAGCAACAACAACAACAACAACAAUAACAAAUGGACAAUUUCUAAAGGCUAACCCUGGAGACUUUUGAAAAAUUAGGUCUUAAACAUGUUUUAAAACAAUUGAAGAAACUAUUAUUGUUGAUGAUGAUCAUGCUAUUUUUAGAUUAUUAUCUUAAAAUGAUUUGACUCCUUAUAAGAAAACUCAUCGAUUCAUGCAUAUUGAAUUAAUACAAGUUGCGUUUAAAUCACUUACUUUGAGAGGUUUACCUGAAAGCUUUAUAGAGGCUUUAAGAGAUGGUAGAAACCAAAAUUCAAAAAAGUCUCUUAUAGGGACUGUUCACACAAGCUUAGUUUAUGGCCUUGUAUAUUUUAAUGCUUAUCCUAAUUUACAAAUAUCUUUGAAUGAUGAGAAUUCUCUAAAUGCUUUAGUAUUAAGUAUUAAAGUGCAUGGUUAUACUUAUAUGCCAGGAACUGAAGUUAUAUGUAUAUGUUAUAGCAUUUAUUAUAAACCUUUAUAUAUUUUAAAUCCUAUGUGUAAAAUUAUGGAUUUUAAAAAUGAGAUUAUUUUAAUAGAAACUAAUUUUGGUAGGAUCAAAAGUUAUUACUAGAAGACCUAUUAAAUGAGAUGAAAUUGACUUUCCCAAAGAAUGGAUUUUUGAGGAAGCUACCCCUCCUCAAAAUAAUGUGAAUAGUGAAAUUACAAAGGUUGAACAGACCACAGUUGGAACUGUUAAAAUUAAAUUUUUUUGAUCCCACACCUCUCAUAAAUAGAGUUGAUAAUCUUAGUGUUGCAUCUAGAUUGACUAGGUCAACCUCUUCUUAUAUUUCUCCUAUUGAUUAUAUCGUUAAUUCUCCAUCUAGAACCUCUACUUCUCAAAUUAGUGAAAACAACAGAAUGAGUAAUAUUAGAUUAGACAGAGAUAAUAUAGCUAAUGCUAUCCCAGAUGCGGAUCCAACUGAAUCUGAAAUGAAUUCUUCUACAGGUUUGAAAUGAAUCAAAACAAAAUUGAUUUUAGUCUGGAAUCACUGACAAGAAAAAGAAUCUCAAAUGAGUUCUUUAAAUUUAAGUGAGAACUUUUUAGAAAUUGAUUUUUUCAAAACUUUAAUAAAGAAGAAAAUAAUAUCUUUUGGGAAGAAUUUUAUAAAGAUCAUUCUGCUCAUAAUAAGAUAAUUGCUUUUGUCCCAUGGUUUAUGACCAAAUAUGUUGAUAGUUAUAUCUCUAUGUUAUAAAAAAAUUAUAAAUUAAGUAAUGGUGAAAUCACCAAAUUAAUUUUUUCUCCUCAACAAUCCUUUCAAAUUGAAAAAGAUGACAAAGUGGUUUCAUGGCCCCAAGUGCCACAACCUGUACUAUGGUGAUCUUCCAAAGACCACGCUGCUUCUGGAGAGGGGCAUUUUUUUAGACAAGGUGCCAAAAAAUUUUCCAGCAUUCCAUGAUAGACUGAUUGCCACCAGGUGGAGAUGUUUUGCUCCGGAUCCUUGCAAGGAAAAUGAGCAGUGGGUAAGGAAGUUCUACGCUAAUCUUAGCGUGGUGUCUUUCUUAGACCCAGUCAUCUGGAUCUGAGGGAAGGAGGUGAACUUUGGAGCUGGAAAAAUUAAUGACAUAUAUGGGCUCCCUAAUACAGAUAAGGCUCAAUUUGAGUCAAAAGGGUGUGAGCUCGGGAGUUGGAUGGCUGAGAAGUUAUAUCCUUGCAGAGAGGUGGUGGCCACCAAAAGGGGUAUUUCGAUGAAUGACUUCACAGCUGAGGCCUGGAUUUGGUUGACCAUUAUUUGUAGCCGGGUUUCUCCUUGCACCAAUAUGACUACUGUUCCAUAUAUGCGAGCCCGAAUGGUCGCUUAUAUACUUGACAACAUUUCAUUAAACGUUGGUUAGCUUGUGAUCUCAGAUAUGAAGUUUUUUAAGAUCCACGGUGGUACGCAUAUCUUAUUUCCUUUUUUAAUUACUGAGUUGUGUAAGAGAGCCAGGGUUGAGGUAUACCUUAGAGAUACUUGAGUAUGCCCAAACACCCUUAUUUAUCCUCUUAAGAUCCGGGGUAAGAGAGCACUAGGUAAGAGCCAGAAGAGAAAGAUCAAUUUGGGCAACUCGACAUUUGAGGAUACAGAGUAUUGCAGGCCAUCUAUAGCCGACCCCUUUGAUGAGAUCAUAACUGAUUUGAGGGUGAUAAGGGAGCUUAUAACAGGGUUGCCUCAUGGGCCAGGACAACCUUCCACUACCUGCCAUUCAUAUGUGGCUCAGUCUGACUAUGAGAGGUACUUAGAAUAUCAGCGAACGUAGGGAGCCAUUAUUUCUAGGCUUGAAAGAGCCUAUUCAUCCUUGGUAGAGUCUUAAAGGGAGCUCCAAUAAAAAGAGGCACAAGCUCUUCAGCAAGAUGUGGAAGGGGGUGAAGGGCCUUUGAAAGGUCCUAAAACCUUGAGACAGACUUUCUUCUUCCCGAGUUGAGAGUGAUGAUGAGGCCCUAGCUCAGUGGUCCAAUUAUGAUGAUGCUGAAGAUGAUGAAGAGUUUGAAGGCGAGAGCAGCUCUAGAUGCGGUUACAGGGAGCACUCUUUUUUCCUUCUUAUGCUUUAUUAUUUAUGCAGUGUGGUCACUGCAAGCUUUUUAGUUAGGGGUACCUAUCUUCAUAUUCAUGCAUUUAACUUGUAUUAUUAAGAUAUUUUUGGAUGUUCUUAUGUUAUUUUGGAUGAUUUUUUUUAGUUGUAAUAUUCGGGCACUCUGAUGGUGCCCACAUUUCAUGGAUUUGUUGUUUUGUUUCAUUUAUAGAUUUUUACUUUAUCUUUAUUUUAUUUAUGGAGACAUCAGACGAGCCUUUCCCUAUGAUAUAUUGAGUGACGACAUUCUUAAGGGAAAAUCGUUGUGAUUGGGUUUUGAGCCAUGGAUGCAGGAAAAGUCUGAGUACUCAUAGCAUCAUGCUAUAAAUGUAAAGAAGAUCUAAGUACUUGGAUUUGGGAUCGCAAGUAUACCUAUGGUGAAAUAUGAGUAGCCAUAUAGUUUGCCCUCAUGAAAGCUGAAAUGUGAGACGAUGGCUUGGUUUGGUUUCAUAAAUAAAAAAUUGUGCGUGGUGCAAAUGUGAAACAAACCCUUAUUCAUCCAAAAACUUUUGAAAACCAAGGACAUGGACGUGAAAUAUUUUGUAGCAAAACUUUACCUCUUUUUGUGACUUCAAAGCUUUUAGUUUGUAGAAGUUGAUAAAUACUCUAUUUUUUCUCUAGUGGGAAGUAAAAUUGAUCCCCCUUGAAGAGUUUGCAUGCCAUGUGCGAUGUGCAUACUUGUCUAAAUCUUAUGCAUACUUUUACCAUCUAUAACUUGCCCCGUUAGUAUCUCAAGGCUAAUUGUGAUUAUGCUUGAUCGGUGAAAUGAUCCUAGGCCAUCUUUGUGAAUAUAGGAACCCACUUUAGCCUAAAUAGCCUACCCAUGCAUAGAAUAGUACCCUUAGUUACCCAAUUUGAGACUUCAAGCCUUUCCUUGGCAAUCACAUUACAAGCCUCGAAUCAUUCAAAUUUUUUUUCCUCUCUUGAACCCUACCCUCUUUGAACAUGAAAAAUAAAACUUGAGGCCAAAUGCCUAAGUUGGGGGUGGUAAUUUUGGAAGGAAUGACCUUGGGAUAUGGUAAUGUAAGUGGAUGCCUAUGAGCUAAGCAAGAAAAAAAGUGAAAAAGAAAGGGGUAGUAAUCAAGUUUGAAGUCAUUGUGAUCAUUGGGUUGUAUAAAAUGGGCUCAAAUAUGCAUUGUCUCAUUGAGUAAGAGGUAGUGUUAUUUGAGGACAAGUAAAGGUUUAAGUUGGGGGUGUUUAUGAUUGGUAAAUUUACCACCCAUUUACAUUCAAAAUUCGUGCACACUUCUAUGAUUUGAAGGUAUGAAUGAGACAAGUUUGUUAUUUGAACAUAUUAAUUUUCAUAUUUUGCAGGUAUACAGGUGAUGAGAAAUAAAUAUAUGGAAUUGAGCUUAAAAGGAAUCAAGAAGAAAGAAAAGUGCACAAGCUGGAAGACCCUGCACAAUAACUAGGCUCAGUAACCGCAAUCGCAGCCAGUCAACUUUGGUCAUGCUCCAGUGAUCAUGAGGAUUUGAAAGCGUUCAUCAUAGCUGCGAUCAUGGACAAACUGCAAUGAUCACGGCUUGGUGGGUUCAUUCACAUGGGAAAUUCUGUCAUUGUACAUAGCCGACCCUAAAUCCCUUAUAAAGCUAAAACCGUUUCCCAUUUGGUAUUCUACGCUUUGAACAAUUGCAUUUUGGUGAUUUUGAAACCCCACUAAUUUUGGAAAACUAUUGUGUUUGAAUUUCCAUCUUUGAGUAUAGUGAAAUUGAGGUUAAAUUCAAGAAUCUUCUUAUUGUCAAUUACCAUGGAUGCUUUGAGUGAAAUUUUUUGUAUAUCUCUUUUCCUUAACUUUAUAAGUAGCUAAUUUUUCUUGUCUUCGGAUUAUGUUGGACUAAGGUGCAAUUAUGUGUGGGUUGUGAUGUAUUUGUAUAGAUUUUAGUUUGUUGAUGAUGAGUUUUACUAUUGCUUGCUUGAAUUAAUUGGGGUUUGUGGGUGAAAACCCCUAAUACCUAAAAUGAAUUUGUGGGUGAAAAUCCCAGGUUCUUUAAAGCUCACAUCAUCCUUGAAAGAGGGAUGUGGGUGAACUUUUGGACCCCAUAUCAUCCUCAAAAGAGGGAUAUGGGUGACAAGGCAAUAGUGGACAAUAGUAGAUGUAUUUUGUUCUCUUAUCCCUGUCUUAGAAAUAAGGGUAUGUAGAAAGUUAGCUAUGUCUUGGGCAUCUUCCUAGAAAUAGAGGUGCCCAAUUGAGGUAUUAGGUUGUUUUAAUUGCUAUACCCGUGAGGUACUUGAAAGGGUCCAUGAGUGAUAAUAUUGAGGUUUUGUUGACAAACUAGCCUCAAAAACCUUCAACCUAACCUACCAUGUCGUUGAUGACUAGAAUUUGCACCCAAUUGUCAUGCACCCAUACAUAACUUGCCCUUAGGUAGACAUAAUCCCAAGAUCCUUCUCAUAUUGAAUUUUCACUCACAAUUGUUUCCUUUAGUUGUUAGCUUGAAUAGACUUCGGUAAAAACACUUUCCAAAACCAGUCCCCCCAUUUUAAUGUAUGCAUUUUACUUUGGUUACACUACGGGCAUACACUUAGAAGCCAUCAACAUCUAUAGGUUUUAAGGACUAGACUCACUCCCCGAGGAUUUGACCUCAAUAUAAGUUGAGCUUUAUUGACAAUGAUCGUCCUCUACCAAAUGCAAUGGUAUAGGUGAGCCUGAUUUGAAUAUAAAAUAUCCAAGACAUAUAUUUGUCAAGGCAAAUCUUGCAUGCCAGAAACCUUUAUUUUGGUAAAAGACAUAGUGAUGAAAUUAUUUUAGGGGUACCAUGGAUUGUUCAUAUAUAUUUUAUUACUUGGUGGGAUGAAAAUGGAGUAACUGACACAUUUAAUAACAUGGAAAUUAAAUUUGAAUGGUGGUCACCACCAUAAACAAUAUUUCUAAAUUUUAUAAAAGAAAAUAUAUUUUUAAAAAAUAAACAAGUUGAUUUUAAAAAAAAAUGAAAUUUAUAGUCUAACAAUAAAAGAGACUUUGAAAAAUCCUAAAUUAAAUGAAAAAAGUAGAAUUUUUGAAAAUCAGUUUUCAUUAGAAAUUUGUGGCAAUCAUCCAAAAUACUUUUUGGCAAAGGAAAAAACAGGUGGUUAGUCUUCCAUUUGAAGAUAACUUUAAAGAAGAUAAUAUUUUCACUAAAUCUAGGCCAUGUCAGAUGAACACAAAAUAUUUAGAAUUAUGUAAAAAAGAAAUUAGAGAAAAGACAUAAAGUCACCCCUCAACUUGUCCGACAUUUUCAAAAGACACCUAAACUAUACGAGCAACCUAUUACCCCAAGAAAAUUACAUAUACCAUUGUAAAUAGACCAUGUCGAUCAAAAUUUUCAGCAAUCCUCAAUUUUAAAGAGGUCUGUGUUUGACACUCUCUAUUUAAUUAAUAAUUUAAAUUAAUUAUUGAUAAAAUGUCGGGUUAACCCUUUAACCCGACUCGAGUCUCUUCAAAUACCCAAAAAGGGUCUUUUCUCUCAUUUUUGAUUUCUCCCACUUCUCCCACUUCUCUCACUUCAUUCUUUCUUUUUCUUUUGCGAUAGAGAUAAGAUCACAAUUAAAGAAGAUUGAAGGAGCUUAGUUUCUUAAUUUGUUGGGGGAAAUACCUAUUAAACAAUAGUUGAGGAUUUUACAGGUUAGGGUUUUCAACUUUUAAGUUAUGAUGUUUCUAACUUUUGAUGGUUUUUUUUGAAGUUGUGUUUUUUUAGGGAAAAUAUAUUUUUAGGUAAUAAUUUAAUGAAAUUGAUGCUAAUAUAAAAUUAUUGUGUUAUGCAUGUACUAUGUGUUUGUAGAAUUUUUUUGCAUAUGUUGUUGUUAUUGUUACGGUGUUGUAGUAGCAUAUAUAGUUGCAACUUAAUUCUUUAUGGUUGUGGUUCAAGUAGGGGGUGGGGUGGAAUGUGUUGUUGGGGAUGUGGGUCCCACUUAUAUUAUUUUUCUGUGGAAAAUAUUCAAAAAUAGUGCUCUUAAAAUUUUAUUCGACUAUUGAAAUUUUUCUCUUUUGUUUAUUGACUUCAAUGUGUUUGUGUGGUUGAAGUAUUUCAUUUUCAGGAAUCUUUCAAUGUCUUUUGUUAUGGUAACUUUAAGAUGAUAUCAUGGGGUUAAAUUAAAUUUGUUCCCCCACCUGAAUAUAUUGGUGGGUCUGUGACUGAGUUUUUAGAUAGAGAUGUUGAUAUGAUGUGCUACUUUGAGUUAAGAGACUACAUAAAAUAUCUAGAAUAUACAACUGAGUAUGAUUUCUUUGUUAAAUGGAAUGGCUAUUUGGCAGAAAUUAAAUGUGAUAAGGUUAUUUGUGACAUUGUCAGCAAGUUAAACAAUGGGGAUGUACUUAAGGUGUAUGUUUCCCAUGGGUCAAUGAACCUUGUCAGGCCCCAUGUGAAUUGGAGUUUUCCCCCAAUACAAGUGAUAAUGGGGUAAAUGAGGAAUCUUUAAACCCUAUUAACAAGGGUGAUGCUUCUAACCUUAAUUUUCAGCCUUCUUCUCCCAAUUUUCCUUCCAACCCUCCUGAUAAGCCUUCUCCUUCUACUAUAUCUUCCAACUCUUUUGACCCUACAACAGAUGAGGAUCCAAGUGAUGAUGAUUUAGAGGAUGAUUCAGAUUUAGAAGGGGAUACUAGUGGAGACAGUGAUGUCCAUCAAGAGUAUAUUGAUAUAAAGGCAAGUAAAAGGAAUUUUAAUAGGUCACAAAGAAGAAGUAGAGGCACAAUAGAUAAAUAGAUUAAUGUUGGUGAAAAAGGUCUACUUAUAGGGUAUAAUGAGAUAAAUGUUGGUACUAGGGAUAGCCUAGUUGGUAAACUAGGAGGUGAAUAACCUUACUACCUAAGUGAUGAAGCUCUUAGCUUUGAAUUAGAUGAUGAAGUAGAUUGGGAGAUGGUGAGGAGGUUGAUGAAGUAGUGCAACAACCUGUGAGAAGAAAGAACAAAAAAAUAUUUUUGAUGAAACUUGUGAAAAAAUUAUUUGGGAAUUAGGAUUGGUUUUUCCAAGUGUAAAGGAAUUUAGGCUAGCAGUAAAAAGAUAUGCAAUUCAAGAAAAUAUUCAAAUUGAAAAGUAUGUGACAGAGUUAGAGAAAGGUGUUGCAAAGACACUUGUCCUUGGUUGUUGUGUGCUAGCAAGGAUAAGAAUAGUGGGGAUUUUACUAUUAAAAAAUACAAUCAUAUUCAUAUUUGUUUGAGAUAAACUUUCAACUAUCUUUGCAACUCGAAGUUUCUGGAAAGUAAGUAUAAACACAAAAUAAGUCAACAACCAAACAUUAGAAUUAUCUAGUUACAUGAGAUUAUUAAAAAGGAGUUGGAUAUCCAUGUUGGUAGGAAAACUGUGAGAAGAGCUAGGUCUAGAGUGAUACAAGAUAUUAUGGGUGAUCAAAUUGUGGAGUAUGGUAGGAUUUUUGAUUACAUAAAUGAGAUUUUGAGGGCUAAUCCAGGUAGCACUUGUGUUGUUAAGGUUAGAGAUGCUGAUGAGACUGGACAGUUAAUCUUUGAGGGUUUUUAUGUGUGCUUUCAUACUUUAAAGAAAAAAUUCUUUGGAGGUGCUAGAAGGUUGAUUGGUUUAGAUGGUUGUUUUCUCAAAGGUGUGUGCAAAGGUCAAUUGUUGGUGGCUUUUUGCAGAGAUGGAAACAACUAAAUGCUGCCUAUUGCCUAGGCAGUUGUUGAGAUUGAGAAUCAGUUUACAUGGGGAUAGUUUCUUGAACUGCUGAAGAAUGACCUUGAGCUUGAAAAAAGUCAUUACUUAAGCAUCAUAACUGAUAUGCAAAAGGUAUGACUCUAUUCUUAACAGGUGUUUGCUAUCCUUUUUCUUUAACAACUGUUGGUAUAACUGGUAUAACUGCAUAUGAAUAUACUAUUUUGUUUUAUUAGGGACUGGAAAUAACUGUAAAAGAGCUGCUGCCACUGGCUGAACACAGAAAAUAUACAAGACAUGUUCUUGCUAAUUGGUUUAAAUAUGGAAAGGGAUAGAAAGAAGAAUAGUGUUUUGGAAGAUUGCAAAAUCCAUAUUUGAAGCAGAAUUGAAGGAGAAUGUAGAAGCAAUGAAAUUAUUGGGGAGGAAUUAUUUGGAUGAUCUUUUGUGGUAUAAUUUGGAGACAUGGUACAAAAGAUACUUUGAAGAGCAUUGCAAAUAUGAUGUUGUGGAAUGCAAUAUGACAUAGAGUUUUAAUGCAUGAGUACUUUGUGCAAGGUUCAAAACUAUCAUCACAAUGCUUGAGAAGAUUAGGGUGAAAAUGAUGAAAAGAAUUGGUGACUUGAGACAAUUUUCAAAUACUUGGAUCACUGAUAUUUCUCCCAUAGCUUUGAAGAUUCUCCAAGAAAAUAUUGACAAGUCAAUGCAAUGCAAUUUAUCUUGGAAUGGGGAAAGGGGUUUUGAGAUUGUUCACAAGGGUUGUACUUAUACCGUUGACAUUGUUAGUGGGAGUUGCAGUUGCAGAGCUUGACAACUUAGGGGUGUUCCUUGUCCUCAUGGUGUUUCUGCCAUUCACCACAAGGAAUAUGAGCCCAUUAAUUUGGUGGACAACUGCUAUCCUACAUAUGCUCAUUUUAUUUAGCCAAGGAAUAACAUAAAAAUGUGGCCAACAUCAAAUAAUCCUACUGUGAGCCACCAAAGAUCAAGAAGCUACCGAGAAGACCAAGUAAAGUUAGAAGAAAGGAGGCUGAUGAAAGUAGAAAAACUGGAAAACUUAGCAAAUGUGGUACUGCUAUGACUUGUAGAAAAUAUGGUACACAAGGACAUAAUAAAAGAGGACAUAAUACACAAGCACACAACUACCUUUAUCAUCCAUCAAAUUCUUGGUAAUGCUUGUCCAAAAUAGUAAAAACACCACGACAAUCAUGGCGAUGGGCUUCCAAUUACAACAUUUGAUCUUCUUCUCCUCCUUCAUCACCCAUUUUCCAUUACUUUCAUAAAAUGCCAAUGCUUCUUCCAACUUCUUGAUUCUCUUCGUCAGUCUCGAAAUAACUGUCUUUGAUCGUAAAUUAGUCUUUUUCGAGUCCAUCCAUCUAAAGAAGUUGCAUGAUUUCUUCUAAAACGGGCCAUAAACAAAUCAAUUUAACAGAAACAAGAGAAAAAAAAUAAGAAAAUAUGUAUAAGACAUACAUGAUAGUGUGAACAAGACCAAAAUCUUCUAGCUGGGUUGUCCUCCGACCAAGACGUUUGCAUUUAAAGUAAGUCUCCAUAUUUGCAUCGCAUUUUUACACGCAACAUGGGAUCAUUCUCGUCAUUACAAAUAUGAUUCAAGAUUGCAUUUGACAUUAUAAAACUAAACCUAAUCACAAAAUUUAACUUGAUUUAAAAAAAUAUAAGUAAAUUGAGAUGAAAUUAAAGCUUUUACGGCUGAUUUUGUUUAGAAAUUACAACAUAAAUGGGAAUAUCUUACCUUUUAAGAUUGAUUUUAUUGAGAAAAGUUUGAGAAGAGAGACAAAUUUUUUCUUCAAAAUAAGCCAACGGAUAUAUCAAUGGAGGAAGAAGAGAAUCAAAUUUUUAAAGUGGAGAAGAAGGGAAUUUAAAAUAAUUGAAAAAUAAAUUACAUGUGGCAUCUUAAAAUUGGUUAUUUCAGUCAAAUUUUAUGCAUUCACGCGCGUCCUAUGCGUGUCUAUACGCAUAGGUAAAAUUUUGAUUAAAAUGAUCUAUUUACAAUGGUAUAUGUAAUUUUUGUGGGGCAAUAGGUCACCUGUAUAGUUUAGAUGUCUUUUUGAAAAAGUCGGUUAAAUUGAGGGGUGACUUUAUGACUUUUCUCAAGAAAUUAAUUCUCUUCUUCAUAAAGACAUUAUAAGACCUUCCAAAGCACCAUGUUCAUGUACUGUCGUUUAUGUUAAUAAACAAGCAACAAAGUUCUAAAAUGAAUUCGGUAUCCAAUACCUAAUAAAAAAAUUUAUUAGAUAGGUUAUACAAUGCCAUAAUAUUUUCAAAAUUUUGAUUUAAAAUCAGGAUAUUGACAAAUUCAAAUUGCUGAAGCAGAUAAAUACAAAACUGUUUUUAAUGUUAUAGGUCAAUUCGAAUGGAAUGUGAUGCCUUUGGGAUUGAAAAAUGAUCCCUCUGAAUUUCAAAAUUUUAUGAAUGAUAGUAUCAUGCCUUAUAGCAAUUUUAUAAUAGUUUAUAUUGAUGACAUACUAGUUUUUUCAAAAAAUGUAGAAAUACACUUUAAACACCUAGAUUUAUUCAAGAAAAUUAUUAUAAAAAUGGGUUAGUACUAUCUAAACCCAAGAUAUCUCUUUUUAACACGAAAGUAAGGUUCUUAGGUCAUAAUAUUGACAAUGAAAAAAUAAUUUCUAUAAAUAAAAGCACAAAAUUUGCUUCUAAAUUUUCGGAUGCUAUAACUGAUAAAACUCAAUUGCAGAGAUUUUUUGGAAGUGUAAAUUAUAUUUCUCCUUUUAUAAAGGAUCUUGCUAAGGAUGCAUCUAUCUUAUAUGAUAGAUUGGAAAAGAAUCCAAUAGCAUGGACAGAAGAUCAUACUCAAGCGGUCAAAAAUAUUAAGGCAAAGGUUAACAACCUACCAUGCCUUACAUUGACUAAGUCUCAUUCGAGGAAGAAUGUUCUAAAGGGGGAGAUAUUGUAAUACCCCUUACUUUUCUAAGUUUAUUCCAACUCAUAGUGCAUGUAUAAAAGGCUCAGAACCUGAAAAUUUACCUAAGUGUUGGGGACUUAGUCUUAUUUUCGGCCUCUCAACUUUGAUGAUUCUUAAAGUGACCUUCCUAACUCCGAGACAUAGCUUUUUAAGUUAAUUUAUGUUCAGGGGUGUAAGUAGCAUGUCUCGAGUAAGUUUCGGAUUUUUCGGAUGAGGUUUGGACAACAAUUAGAUUUUCAAAACAGUAAGUCACUACAAUUGUGGUGCGUCGUGGUGGCAUGAUUGGUGCAUCACGGUAAGGCAUAAAAUUAGGUUUAACUUAUGAAUUUAAAUUACAGAAGGGUAGACUGGUCUUUUCCCACCACCCCAAAUUAUGAAAACACGAGAUUAAGCAAUUGAAAGAGCAUAUUUUGCUCACAUCCCUCAAUUUCAUUCAAAAAGAAACCCUAAACUCUUUUAUUGUUCAUCAAGUUGAACCUUCUUUCCAUCCAAGAAAUGUCAAGAGUUGGUGUUGUCCAAGCCAAGAACAUUCAAGCUUGUGAUAUUCUUUAGGAUUUAAUCCUUAGAGUAUCUUCGAUGUCCAUCCAUGGGUCCUUUUCACCCAUGGAGUCCAAGAAUCCAAUUUCAAGUUUAAAAGUAUGAUCUUUACAUAUUUUAUGAAUUAUGUUCAUCCACUUUCAUGAAAUUUAAUUUUUAUAUCAUUUUUACAUGAAAUUAUUGUUUUUAUUAAACCCUAUACGUUUGAAUGGUGAUGUUCGCUGAUUUAAGUCUUAAUUGGUGAUUUUAGUAUUGAAAUCAUGCUAUUAAUACCUGUUUAAAAGUAUUCCCAUGCUUAAGCCAUACUUUACAAGUGUUUGAUAAAAUGCCUCAAAGGAUGAGUUUUGGAUAAUAACUAUAUGUCAUGUCCUCAAUGUUUUAGUAUAAUUUUGUUGAUUAUUGCUAUAGAGUGCUGGGGGUUUGAAUACCUAAAAUUUAGUUGUUACAUGGCUUUAGUAGUUUCAAAAAGGUUUUCAGAUAAAUCAUGAGUGACAUCAGUUCAAUUAGUUAUCAUAUUCAGUUAAACUUUGAUCAGUCUAGAAUUCAGUGCCUUUCAGUUGGGGUAAACCUUAGCACCGAGUGAAUAUAAGGAUGGAGUCUCCCCCGCCAGUAGGCAUGAGGCACUUGUCUCCCCCAUCAGUAGGCAUGAGACGUUAGAAGCAGUCCCUAAGUUCAGACCUACGAUGCCAUCGUAUAUUUGAGGGGUCCCCCAUCAGAUAGGCAUGACACCCUCAUCCUUUGGGACAUUAGAUUAGUGGAUCAACAAAACCAUUGUUAGUACCCAUGGCAUGAUACUAACACUCUUCCUGAUGGGGUUAUAGGUUGGACCCUGAUAAUACAUUAGGGCAUGUCGGUUAUAGCUAGCUCCCACAAUCUCAGUCCAGUAUUCAGUAUAAUUCUGUUCAAAUUUGUAUUCACCCUAGAAUAUAGUUAUCAGUAUUUCAGUUUACAGGUUAUUUCAGAAUUAUGCUAUAUGCUUAGUCAUGCAUUCUCAGUCUUUACAGUUUCAUGCAAUCUUACUCUGUAUCUCAUGCUAUCCAUUCACUGAGUUAUCGCUUUAUACAUAUAAACCCGUGUAUUUUAGCCUAACCUCAUCUAAUGUACUAGUACAUUCAAAGUACUAAUCACAUACUCGUUUCUUACUCUAUGAUGUCUUAUAUCAUAGGUUCGGUCACUUAUGUUCCCGACUGUAGUUAGACUUUUCAGUCCAUCAUCAGCUGCAAUAGCGGUGAGUCCUCAUCUUUUGAGGACGUGCUAUCUUAUAUUCAAUUAUGUCAGUAUUUUAGUUAUUUAGUCAGUGGGAGUUAGUUAGGUGUUUGUACCAUCAACUCUACAUUAUGUCAGUUUAGAGGUUUUUAGACUAGUACAGACAGUUAGUCAGUUUUCAGUUGAUAUUAUCAGCCGCUUUUUUUUAUUAGUACUGAAAGUAUGUUUUCAGACAUUUUAAAACCAUAUUCAGACAUUUUAAAACCAUGUUUCAAUAUUGAUUCCAGUUGCUAAAACCUUAUGGCAUUUCCAGUUAAAUUCUGCAUAUGUUCUUUGUUAUUUAUUUAGUGUUCACAGUAGGUACCAGCCUGGGUUAGCUUGUUGUUCUUCAGGGCUGUAAGCAUCGUAUGGUGUUCAGGGUGUACUCUUGUUGUGUUACAAUUUGGUGAUGAAUUAUUGCAUUGAGCUUGUUCACAUUUGUUUUUAUUAUACUUUUCAAGCUCUUACCUCUCAUGCGCACCACAUGUUUGUUAAUAUAUCGAUAAGAGAGGAACGCCUCAUAUACUUGUAAAGGUUAAUGUGAACUUUAUUGAGGGUGUUAUGUUAUAAUUUUUGGAGCAUAGUUUUGAGUCAAUUGUUCUUUAAUGUUGGAUAACCAAUGUUUUUUUGUUGAAUAUGUUGAUUAAUGUUGCGUCCAUGGUUUGAUCGAUUAAUGCGCAUAUCACAUCAUCCAAGGAUGAAAUCUAAGUAACCCGGGAGACUUGAAUGCUUGCCUUGCUCUCUGAUAGAUUGGGUGACACCAUUCUUAAGGGUAUAGGGUCGUUUGUGUUUCUAUUGGUGCUAUGAGUGUUUUAUGAGCUCAAUUGAUGAUAUGGAAGUUGUGAGGAAAGAAUCCCAUGAAGUGUAAUGAUAAUGUUUUCUUGCAUUCACCUAAGUUUUUCUUUAAUUGUUUAGGAAGAGGCAAAAGUUCAAAAAUAGUUUCAACAUGUCACUGGCAAGAAAUAAAAUGAUUUUGAGAAAAAUCAAAAACAUAGUUUUCUUUUUGAAAAAGAUUAAGGAUGUUUUGAGCUUUCUUUUGAGUGAGACCAUUAAAUUCAAUUUUUGGCUCUCUCUUUAGAGGGAUGAUUCCUUGACUCGGAGUAACUUAUUAAGCUCAAAUUUCUCAAAUUGGUUGGCAGACUAAAUUUCUGCUCUAUGAGUAUAGUGCCAUGUCUGGUGAAAUUUUUGAAUAAUUCUUGUACAUAUGUGUAGUCUAGAACUUGCCCCAAGUGUGUUCAAAGCAAAAUCCUAGAUAAGCGUGGUUUGGAGGAUGACCUGAGAUCAUUUUUGGCCCAUCACAUAGCUAAAUUUCCACCUUAACAUUUUUCCCUAGUUAAUCCUUUUGAGCCUUUUGACCCAUUUCUCUUUCUUUUUGUAAUGUUAACCUUGAUAAAACAACUAAUCCCCUCUUUAAAUAUCUCUUUUUGCACUUAACCUCCUUUGAUGCAUUGUAUGAUUUGAAGAAAUGAAAUAUAGGCAGAAGCCUGAGUUUGGGGGGUUUGUAUAGUUGGGAGAUUGAUGUAAGGGUGGUUCACAAUCCUAGUUUGGGGGGAUAAAUGUGAUGUGAUAAGAUGAUCCAAUAAAGGUGUAUGUAAGGUGGUAAAUUCAUAUGCUUAAGAGACAAGAGACGUACUUGAUGGCAAAGUUGUAUAGCCUAUCCCAUAUAAUGUGAAGUAAAAUGAGAUUGGGGGGGGGGUAAGAAAAACUUAAAGUCUUAAAGUCUCUUAAAUUUAAAUCAAUGAAUAAAGAAAAUUAUGGCUUUGAAUUGUUUGGUAAAUGCUAAUAAAAAAGGUUGGGAAAUAUGGGAAAUGAUUUGAAGGAGAAUAAGGAGGAUAGUUUGGAAACUUUGGGGUAGAAUGGGUUGAGUGGUUGCAUUGAAGGAGGUCUUUUAGUAACUUGAUCCAUAUAUAUUCCUUCCCGCACCUUAAACCUUCAUCUUCACCCACAAGACCUUGGUGAUUUCAAACUAGGUAAGUCUACAUUAGUGGCAAAAAACACAAAAGGCAAGUCUAUGGUUCUACUCAAUGUACUUGAAUUUUUUUGAGCUCCUUUAGAAAUUUAAAUGUCUUGUGUAUGUGGAGCUAACUCUUGCGUGUGAGUGACAUCGAUACUUUUUAGGUAGAGGGUGAAAUCUUACUAGCGGUUUAGGUAAAUGAGUGAGGUAAGUUGCAUUAUGAAAAUUGAGACAAUCUUUGAAGAUUUUGUGUUUCCUCUUAAGAUGCUUUGUUGAUUUUGAAGGUUUAUCUGAUACAAACUUGUAUCCUUGCUUCAUAAAUAUGUUCUUAUUGGAAAAUUUUGAUUUACUUGUUGCCAUGAUAUGUUUGGAAAGUCUUUGUAGAGCUUUAUUAGCUUAUUCCUUUAGUAUAGUUUUCUUUUGGGUGGAUUUGAGCUAAAUACCCUAUCUCACUAAAUUAUUCUUGGUUGCUUGAGGACAAUCAAUAGUUUAAGUUUGGGGGUGUUGAUGAGUGGCAAAUUUACCACUCAUUAGCAUCCAAAUUCUUGCACUAUUUUGGCUAAAAUCAUGCAAAUAAGACUAAUUCUCCAUUUGAAUGCAAUAAUUUACAAUUUUUGUGAUCUUGUAGGACCUUUAUUCAAAAUGAAGGAAAAACAAGCUGUAGGGGAAGGAAAAGAGGCUAAAAUGAGCAAAAGCUAGAGUUCAAGAGGCCCUCAGUUACCAUGAUCGCGAUCUUCAGAUUCGCAAUUGCAGUCAAGCAAUCAGAGAUCACAUGACCCUCAGUUAUUGCAAUCGUGGCACAAGAUUCGCGAUUGCAAUCCAAAGAACGCGAUCACAAUAGGGCAUAAAAAGUUUAGGGGAAAAAUUGUAAAAUUUGGAAAAUGUUGAAUUGGGGCUUAAAUAUGGGUUUUUAGCUCAUAUUUUAUCCAUAUUUUUACCCAUCAUAAAUUUUUCAUCUUGGGGAGACUAUUUACUAAUCUUGAGCUAAGAAGACAUUAGAGUAGNNNNNNNNNNNNNNNNNNNNNNNNNNNNNNNNNNNNNNNNNNNNNNNNNNNNNNNNNNNNNNNNNNNNNNNNNNNNNNNNNNNNNNNNNNNNNNNNNNNNNNNNNNNNNNNNNNNNNNNNNNNNNNNNNNNNNNNNNNNNNNNNNNNNNNNNNNNNNNNNNNNNNNNNNNNNNNNNNNNNNNNNNNNNNNNNNNNNNNNNNNNNNNNNNNNNNNNNNNNNNNNNNNNNNNNNNNNNNNNNNNNNNNNNNNNNNNNNNNNNNNNNNNNNNNNNNNNNNNNNNNNNNNNNNNNNNNNNNNNNNNNNNNNNNNNNNNNNNNNNNNNNNNNNNNNNNNNNNNNNNNNNNNNNNNNNNNNNNNNNNNNNNNNNNNNNNNNNNNNNNNNNNNNNNNNNNNNNNNNNNNNNNNNNNNNNNNNNNNNNNNNNNNNNNNNNNNNNNNNNNNNNNNNNNNNNNNNNNNNNNNNNNNNNNNNNNNNNNNNNNNNNNNNNNNNNNNNNNNNNNNNNNNNNNNNNNNNNNNNNNNNNNNNNNNGUAGAGCUUUAUUAGCUUAUUCCUUUAGUAUAGUUUUCUUUUGGGUGGAUUUGAGCUAAAUACCCUAUCUCACUAAAUUAUUCUUGGUUGCUUGAGGACAAUCAAUAGUUUAAGUUUGGGGGUGUUGAUGAGUGGCAAAUUUACCACUCAUUAGCAUCCAAAUUCUUGCACUAUUUUGGCUAAAAUCAUGCAAAUAAGACUAAUUCUCCAUUUGAAUGCAAUAAUUUACAAUUUUUGUGAUCUUGUAGGACCUUUAUUCAAAAUGAAGGAAAAACAAGCUGUAGGGGAAGGAAAAGAGGCUAAAAUGAGCAAAAGCUAGAGUUCAAGAGGCCCUCAGUUACCAUGAUCGCGAUCUUCAGAUUCGCAAUUGCAGUCAAGCAAUCAGAGAUCACAUGACCCUCAGUUAUUGCAAUCGUGGCACAAGAUUCGCGAUUGCAAUCCAAAGAACGCGAUCACAAUAGGGCAUAAAAAGUUUAGGGGAAAAAUUGUAAAAUUUGGAAAAUGUUGAAUUGGGGCUUAAAUAUGGGUUUUUAGCUCAUAUUUUAUCCAUAUUUUUACCCAUCAUAAAUUUUUCAUCUUGGGGAGACUAUUUACUAAUCUUGAGCUAAGAAGACAUUAGAGUAGAUCCUAAGUGAAGGAUUAGCAAAUUUCCAUUGAAGAUUUGUUGAAAUUUCAAGUUUGGGUUUGCAUUCUCUUUGUCUUUCAUGAAUUAAUUUGGUGGAAAUUUUGGUAUAUCUUUAUUUACUAUCUUUAUGAGUAGAUAAUUCUUCGUCUUGGGGUUAUGCUUGAAUAAGUUGUGAGUAGUGAUUGGGUGUUGUUUAUUCAUCUGUGUAACUAGCUAUUUGUUGUGGUUUUGCUUUUACCUUAUUCUUGAACUACAAAUUGUGGGUGAAAACCCCAAUUAUUUAGGAUCUCAGACCAUCCUUAAAAGAGGGGAAUUGGGUGAAGGGUAUUUGUAUACAAUAACUUGAGUUAGCUUGUGGGAUGACAUGAUCUUAGAAAUAAAGGUGUUGUUUGAGUUAACUCAUUUGAUAGUAUCAUCUUAGAAAUAAGGGUGCUAAUUGAGGUAUUGGAUUGGUUGUUUGGCCACAUUCGCGAGGCGUUCAAAAGAACCCGUGAAUGAAAUUUAGUGUUUUAUUGAAAGAUUGACGCUAAUACCUCUAAAUCUAGCCUACCCAUUAUUAUAGCUAAAUUUGGUUAAAUUUUCAAUUACCCAUGCAUGAGUUUGCACCUAGAAUGGCAUGACCCGAAGAUCCAUUCCUAAUUGAUUACACUCUAAUUAUUUUUAGCCUCAAGUUAGUCUUCUAAAAGUCCUAAAAUUAUUAUACUUUUGAAAACAUUCAAAAACUCCCCAAAAUGUCCGUAUCCCAUAUUUGAAUUUAGUAAGUAACUUAUAUUUCAAACUUACUCGAUCACCAUUCACAUUGUUCCUCGUGGAUUCGACCCCAACUCAAAGUUGAGUAAUUAUAUUUGACAACGAUUGUCCCACACCAAAACAACGGUAUAGGUGAGUGUGAUCACUUAAUUAGCCUCACAACUAGCUUACUAUUAAUCAAGUUACAAACCCACAAACGUUCAGGAGCAAUAACAACUAAGUAUUACCAUGAACAAUGAAGGACAUGAAUAUUCAAGAACACGUAUAAUAACACCAUUCCCUUAUUCGACCCUACAACUAAGCAUCAUCAAUCAUAAUCAACCUAUCUCAUUGCAAGGACCCUAGCAAUUUAAUUAUACCAUUCCCAAGAAAUACUAUUAAUCAAUAAUUAUUGCUAUAUAAUAAUCAUAUAAGCAAUGUCAAAUAAUAAACAAUCAAUGACAAUUCAUUUAAGCAAUCAAUAUGGUGACUAUUUACACCAAUAGACAUUUAUAAUUUCACAAAUAUCCGAGAACUUAGUUCCACCAUAAUCUCAUGAUUUUCUCAUCAUCUACACAUUAUCAUCGAAAUGGAAGUAGUAACUCAAUCAACAGAAAAAACCAUCAAGUUAGAUGAAGUCUAAUGUUCAAAUAUAAAUGUUAUCACAUCAAAUGAUUAACUUUCAUACCAAGGGCUACCAUAUUCACCCUUUCACUUACUCAAUCGACAAUUCAAUUAUCAAUUAAAAUUUUAAUUUAUCACAAAAUUUAAAGCCAAAUCAAAUUUUUCUUAAGUCAUAGUCAUGAAUUACCAUAAAAUUUUCUUAUUGCAAUUUCCGUUAUCAAGCAAUAAUAACCCCUUUUGCAUGGUACUAUUGUACCAACUAUUUGAAAUAAGAGUUUCCACAAUUUUAUACUAUUUUCUCCUCACCAUUUUAUCAAUGAUAAAGACCAUACCCAACAAUUAUCAUACCAUUUUCCACUUAAAUUACAUAACAGGAAUUUCUUAAACCAUAACCACAUAACUAAAUUAUGACCUUUCACAAUUCACAAAACUUAAAAUAAUUCACCCAACUGCAAUUCACAUAAGUACCAUGGCAUUAACCUUAUGCACAAAUUUAAAUCUUUAGGUUACUACCAACAAGACAAGCAAAAAUCAUAGUCAAACUUAAUCAAACACUACACAACACAUGGAAAUUUGCCACAUUCACCUAUCACAGAUUCAAAGUUAAUUAAACAACUACAAAUCACAAACACAUCUUAGAUUAUACUAAAAUAGUUACAACCAAUCAAUUUUAUCAUAAAUCAUAUGAAAAUCAUAAGUUCCAGCCCUUACUAAUUGAAAUAAUGAGGUUCCAAUACCGAGCUCCUCAAAAUAUAGAUUAUCAGCUAGAUUCCAAUUAUGUUUGUGGAGAUGCCAAUUGGAAUCAAGAGAUACCAAUUGGAUUCAACCCAUACAAGCAACUCUACAACCCUUAUGAUAGGAAGGAAAAAAGUGUAAUAAUUUUCUAGAAUACCUCAUAGCUUUCCAAAGAUUAGACGUGGAUGUCAACACCCACUUCCAAAAGACUCGACAUUGGCACUUGUUGUGGGAGACCAGUAACCUAGGAUCCGAUACCAAAUUGUCAUGAUCUAAAUUAUUGGAUCGUGAAGACACAUACUCUAAUCUACCUAGAUAGGAAAACCCCCUACCACCAUUUCAAUAUAGUAUGCGAAAGUCUUGAAUAAAUAACAAUUACCCAACUUUAUUACAAAUGAUUUUACAAAUAUAAAUGUGAAAAAAACUACCCCUAGGAUGUAGUCUAAAAAAGUACAAGAUCUUCUAAAUAAGAAGGUAAGACUGGAUACAACUUCCACUAUGAAUGAGAAGAUUAGAAGCCAUUGGAGAUCACUAUCCACGUCACCUGUGAAACAUCAACUGAUUCUGCAAUCAGAUUAUACCUUAAAAAGGAUAUAACAUAAGUAAUAUCAAUACAAAUAACAUGCACUGAUAGGUAUCAACAGUUGAUGAAGGUUAGAUUACAUAAACAUAAUAUAUCAAUCACAAAAAGAGAACAUGAAAACAUAUAUAAUGAUUUAAUUCACAUAACUUUUAUAUAAGUGUGUUACCUAAGAGUAUUUCAUUCUUAUUCUCAUUGAUCAUUCAUCACAUUCAUAUCAACUAUCAUCCAUCCUAAAUUUCAGAGUUUAACCACAAUGGUUAUUCUAAAUCAAUCUAUUUCACUUGUGCCUUAAUUAACCUCAAUGAUAAAUGAAAGCCAAUAAUAAUCACCUUAUAAUAAGUACAAUGAAGAACUCACCUUAUGAUAAAAUAAUUUAAGUUUAUAACACUUAGCCUUUCCAAGUAACUCUACAACUUCAAUCAAGUACUGGUCAAGAGACAAUAAGUCAAUUCAAACCAUAAUCGAGUCAACAACCCUGAAUCUAACAGCAUCCAAGUCAACAAUCCAUGACUCUAAGAAUAUCCAAGUCAACAAACCAUGAUUCUAAUAAUAAGAAUACCAAAAUAUAUGAUAAGUAACCAGAUCACAUAAAAUUUCAUAUAUAUCAAGCAAUCUCAUAAUACGGUCCAUUCAAGAAACCCACUACAACAACCAUAAUAUAAAUUGGUCCACUUAUGGAAUCAAUAUAAAUAACAACAAUAACAUUAAGCAUAUACCCGGUCCACUCAAGGAACGACAAACUUACCUGAACCUUGUACAUAUACGCUAAGGGUAUUAUAACCACCCUCUAGUCAUGACCAAUAGGAGAUGAGCUCUUUUCAUAUAGGAAAACCCACAAAUCAAGUGUAUUGCAACCUUAUUCCACCAAAUCCUGUGAAGAUAUCAAAAUAUCGGUACAUCCUACAAUAAUAAGUAAAAAUCCCAUUAAGAUGUCCAAAUACCAACACAUCCUAUAAUAAGCAAUAAAUAUCACAACAAUUACAACCAUGAUGAGACUAAAAUACUAAAUUUGUAUAAUCAAAACUCUUAAUAUAAUAUUAUUAUAUGUGAUUAACACUUAGGAUAUCAUUCAACAACAUACUUUAUUAAACAUGUACUGUAACAAGGAGACAAACACUCCAAAAACUUGGUCUAACUCAAGAAAAUAAUUUCAUGUAAAAAAUACUUAUCCUUUAAUAAAUGAAAUCAUAAUAUGCCUGAAAAGCUAGUCACAACUCAUAAUUCAAGCCUUAUCAAAUCAUAUUCAUUAACUACAGCAUGCCCAAAGACCAUUCCAUGACUUAUUCAAGCAAGUAUUAUCAAGCCAUAUUUAUUUAAUUUAAGUACUUACUUCAAGAGCGCACAUUCAACCCCAAGGAGUUCAAACUCUAGUUCAAUGUUCCUAAGUUUAUUCACUAAUCCCAUCCUUCUUUAUUUAUACCAAAAUUGGGGAUUCUGCUAAUAUUCAACAACCCCUAUAUUCACGUCAUUCUAGGUUCAAGACUUACACUAUUAACCAAUUAUUCAACCUACAAUCUAGCCUUCGCCAUACACCUUUUUACCUUUUACUUACUAAACCUUAGCCUUACUUGACCUCAGGCUCUUAAGUUAAGUCACUGCCUUUUUAUACCAUAAUCAGUCCUCACUACUAACCUUAAGUAAUAUUAUUCCAUAUUCCAACCAUAUAUAUUACUAGUUUACACUUUUUAUGGUACUUAUAUAAAAUAAUUAGAUUAUGAGCUUAGAUAAUACCUCAACAAAGAAUUUCCACCCAUACUAAGAAAAUUACCCCUCUAGAGCUUAGGAAUUAAAAUUUGAAGUUUAGGGGAUGAAACCGGUUAGAAAUAAGGUAUAAACUACUGUUUGUGAUGCUAUAGUGGCCUGACCGCUAUAGCGACACCACUAUAGCUCCCCGACCUACUCCGGCGCCUUCAACCUUUUUAGCUCGGACAAUCUUUAGUAAAAUAAUCAUAACUUUUUACUCUGAAAUUGGUUUAAGAAAUGGUUAAUUGUACAUUGAAUAGGAUUCAGAGACAUUUUUUAUGGUGGGUAUUAUUCCCACUAACUCCUUAUAUUCUUCUAGGAGUGAUGGUCAUUUGAAGUUGGUCCUAUUUCAAACUUAGCCAGAAACUAAAUCGAUAAGGAUACUUUCAACUUAACUUUGUUCUAGGAGUAUUCUAUGACCUUAGUACAUAUAAAAUACAAUGUCAUGAUAAGGAAUUGAUCUUGGUACAUAUGACAAGUGAGAUUUGUAUGAAUUUACCAUAGAUAAUUUCAAUAACAAUAAAAUCGAUCAUUACAUUCAGCCUUUACUGCUCUCGAUGUUUGAGGAUAUUGACAUGGAUAUAUAGAUACUAGACUUCUAUCCUAGGCCUCAAAUAAUUGUGGAAAGAUUAAGGAAGUAUAUGAGUCAAUACAUGAGACAAGUAAUGAUACACAAGCUCAUAUAAAAAGAAAGAAGAAGGAUAAAAAAACAAAGAAGAGUGAUAAAGAGAGAGAAGACCUUUAAGGUGCCUAUUUUAGGGAUAGGUAUGAUCCCUCAUAAUGUAGUUAUUCCAAUGCUGAUGAUAUUAUUGAGGUGAGUGGAGGUUUAUAAAGACUACCCUUAUAAAAUCAUCUUUUAGUACAUUGGCCAUCACCGGUACCAACCUAAGUGAGAGUGCCCCAACCACUACUGAGGCUACUGGAGAGCAUGGAGGGGGUAAUCUAUGACUCUAUUUACCAGUCAAUGACAGGUGUCUAGUUCUUAACAGAUAUGUCUUUGCCCUAGUUCUUUCUUUAUAUUAAUACAUUGGGACAUUGUACUAUUUCUAAGUGGGGGUAGGGGUAUACAACAUUUAAGGGUUUUUGUUGCCAUGAUUCUUUUUACUUGAAUGUGCUAUCUAGUUAGAACCAGAAUAUUUAGGUAUUUAAUUGAUAUUUUUGUGUUAUUUUUGUGUCAUUUGUGUAACCAAGGGUAAAAUAAGAUAACUUGGAAUUGUCGAGAUAAAUAAAAACAUGCAAAUCUUAUUUUUGAGUUUAAAUAAUACCCCUUCAAAACUUUUGAUGUGUUUGUUGUGUUGUUUGCCUGGUGUAAACUGUGACAAAUAUUGAUAUCAUUAUGGAAUUAGGAUUAUGAGUGUGAUAACAUAGUAUAACUAUGCAUGGACCCACUAUUGGUGUAUUUAAGAGGGAGUGUCCUAUUAGACAAAUGAAUACUCAAGAACAGUAGCAGACCUGGGCUAUAGUUCCAGUAGGUAAAGAGGGAUGAAGUAAUGAUAGAGGUUGUCCACAUAGUGGAUGUGAUAAUUAGGCAGGUUGUUGUGGUGGCUGGGAAAAUAGAGGUGCAGAAUGAGGAGAGUAGUUGGGGAAGAAGUUAACUUAGAUUAAUAAACAGGCUCACUAUUAUGAAUUUUUAGGAAAGAUUGACGUUUAGCCUUCUAGUGUAAUGAUCACAGAUACUAUUUCUAUUUGUGACUGAAUGGCUUUGUAUUAUUUGAUCUGCGGUCUACUUAUUCUCAUAUAUCAAUUUAAUUGAUGGUGGGUCUGAAUCUAGUUUAUGAUUACUUGAUUACCCUAGUUAUGUGUCUACUUUGGUUGGUGAGUCUACGAUACUAACCUAUGUUUACCAUUCUUCACUUGUAUUAUUUAUGGGUUUUUAGACUUGGGUAGACCUGAUUGUAUUGGAUAUGUUAGACUUUGAUAUAAUUCUAGGUAUGACCUAAUUAUCUUUAUAUCAUCCUAUUUUAAACGUUAAUGUUAAGAUAGUGACUCUAACUAUGUCAGGAAUGGAUAAACUAGAGUGAGAGGAAGUGUAUAAGUCCAAGCCAGUGAGAAUCAUAUCAUUUAUUUGGUCCAGAAGGUUAGCAAGGAAGGGGUGUCUAGCAUUUUGAGCCCAUAUCUGGGAUGAGUAUAGGGUCCCCUUCCAUAAAGUUAGUUUUGGUAGUUUUUGAAUUCUAAGAUGAAUUUCUUUUAGAGCUACCAGAGAUUCCUCUAGAUAGAGCUAUAUAUUUUUGUAUUGACUUAGAGUCGAGCAUCACCCUAUAUUAAUUUCUCCUUAUUGAAUAGCUUCAACAGAGUUGAGGGGCUCAAAACUCAACUGCAGGUUCUACUUGACAAGGGUUUUAUUUAUCUAAGUUCUUUAUACUAGGGUGCUCUAAUCCUUUUUGUUAAGAAGAAGGAUGGUAGUUUGAGGAUGUACAUUGAUUAUAGAUAACUGAAUAAGGUUACUAUAAAAAAUAAAUAUCCCCUCCCUCACAUAGAUGAUUUAUUUGACCAUUUAUAGAGUGCAUCAAUGUUUUCAAAGAUUGAUAUGUGAUCGGGUUAUAAUUAUUUGAAAAUAAUACCACAGGACAUACCAAAGAAUAUUUUUAGAACUCGGUAUGACCAUUAUAAGUUUUUGAUGACUUUCGAGUUGACUUAUGCACCUGCAGCCUUUAUGAGCUUGAUGAAUGUUAUCUUUUAAUUAUUCUUGGAUUUUUUUCUUAUUGUAAUCACCUGAUUUUUGGUGAUUUGUGUAAAAUAUUUAUUUCUAAGUGAUUUAGCCAUUUUACCCCCAGUUGCAUUGUGGUAUUUUUUGGGUGAGGAGAUAAUUAGCAUGGUUCCCAAUGUAUUUAGGUAUGGUUUAUGUAAGAAUAGUCUAAAAGGCUUAUUAAUUGACUUUGGUUAACAUCUUUUGAUCUAUGCGUCAGAUGGUAAAAUAGACUGUGUCAGCUGAUCCAAAACAUUGAUUUAGAUUGGUAACAUAGUUGGUGUGCUUUUAUGGCUUUUAUAUCUCAUUUUGAUCUUACGUUUGAAAAGUUUUUAAAUAAGUCUCGAGGGUCAAUUUUGUGAAAAUAACAUUUUUUUGAAAUUAAGUUAUCACCAUAGAGUCUGGAGAAUCGAAUUUGAUUUGGUAGCAUAGUUUGUUUACAUUCUUAGGAUUUUGGAUGAAUCCUGAUGGGUCCGCAUCGACUUGAAAUUUUACAAGUCUCCACAGCUGGUGCAGCCGCAAAAGUGACACUUUGACCGCUUUAGUGGAAAGCUCUAAAAUCCCAGUGGCCACUUUAGAGGCUGUCUACCACCUAGGCGAAGGCGCUUUAGCUGCCCUCGUUCACUUUAACAAAGGGUGCUAAAUGGCCCUUGUCUGCUUUAGCAGACUGGUACGCUAAGUGGGUACCACUAGAGUGCUACUUCACUGCUAUAGUGGUGAAUGCUAAAGUGGACACUUGAUCGCUUUAGCCGCACCUUGCACCUAGUUUUAAAUAAUUUUUUUCUUAAUUUUAUUCACCAUUUUUGAGACAUGAAGCUUCGAGCAGAUUUUUGGGAAUUUUCUUUCAUUUCUAAGAUUGAGUAAGCUCCUAACUCCUAUUUCAACUAAUUUUCUUUGAUCCUAUCAUUUAAAUCUUGUUUAAACUUAAAUUUAAAGAUGGAAUUUGGGGAUUUUGGCUCGAAAUGCCAAAAUUAACAUUUUCUUCAAUUUAAACCCCAAUUUCACUCUAUUUUCACUUGGGUUUUCUCCUAUGAGUUCCUUUAAAUCUUGGGAAAGAUGUUUUUGGAUAAAAUUUUGGUUUUACCCCUCUUUUUUGAAAACUCAUUUUGGGGGUUCUUUUUGACCCCGAUUUAAAAAUGAGCAAUAUGAUUAUUGUUGGCUUUAUUUUGAUGUAUAGAUUUGAUAUUUGUAUAUUUUAUUGGUUCUAGGUCUGUUCAUGAGGGUAGAGCUCCAGAUUAAAGGGUUUUGGGAUUUUUUUUUACAUUUAAGGUAGUUUAUGGCUUAACAUUCUUCAGAAUGGGUAGGGUUGUUAAUAAUAAUGUCAAAGCAUGCUAUGGGUACGGGGUUAUAUCAUGAAAAUGUGUUUAAGUGAUUUAUGUACCCAUGUGGGGGCCAAUGUGGAUAAUAUUGGUGGUUUUGGGACAUUAUCUAUUAUGUGUAGCUGUGUUGGGCCUUAAAUGAUGUUGUUGGCCUGGUAUUGAAAUGUGUAUGUUUGGUUACAUUCUUUUUGGUGGGAAAAGCCUAGAAUUUGGGAUUUAUAUGGUAUCGGUGCUUUUUCUUUCUUGCAUAUUUAACUUGAUUGUUUGUCUGGAUUAUUUGUGAUCAUGGUUGGUUGGUUAGUUUGAGUGGAUUUUUGGCUCACAUGGUUGGUAUAUUGGUAGGAUAUUGGAUAUUCUCAUUUUGGUUGGUUGUAAGUAUUACAUCCUCAUAUCAUAUUAAUUCAUGUAACAUUGUUACCACUGUGGAAAUACUUGAAACACUAACUUUUUCUAAAAGAAAAUGUGGCAUGUUUAAAACCCUCUACUGAUGUAUAUGCCAGAGAUGAGGUAUGGAUAUUGGUAUUGGAUAUUGGUUGUAUACGGGUCGACGAACCUCCAUGGGUCCUACCUUGAGAAGCUUUAGCUCGGUAGGUGUACUAGGAGGUUUUGUGAUGACCUCUUGUAUCACAUCAUUAUCAUUAUUGCAUUCCAUAUAUUAUGCUAUUCUGUGAUUGUAUUUCUAUUCUUGAUUUGAUAUUUGUCCAUUUGUUCUAUCUUCUUUUACUUGUAUUUAGUGUACGUGUAUGUUUGUUCUCCCUUCCCUCUACUGUAUUUGUGAUGUUGAUGACAUCCAAAUAACACCUCUUAUUAGAUAAUGAUACGGUCUCCAUCAAAAUAGUAACCCAAUAGAGGUUGGGGUUGAAUCCCAAGGGAACACGUGGCUUUGCAGAUCUCAGUAGUUGUAGUCAAUGGGCAGAACAAGAAAAGUAAAUUAGGGGUUUUGAUAUAGUAAUCUCAAGUAAAUAACUGUACUAACUUCAGCUGUUAUCAGUGUAGGCGAACAUUAGGAUUGUGUUCCCUCUGGAUUCUCAACUUUGUAGGCUUAUCACGCUUCACUAAACCAACUCGAUACUUUGCACGUAGAAUGGAUAAGUUAUGUAGCUUCUGCAGUUUUUUGGACGACCAGAAGGAUUUCACUCUAUAACUUUUGAGUCUCAAGAUGUCGCAUUGCUAACCCUUAUUUUGAUUCCAGUUAACAAUUACGUUAUGAGUCUCUAGUUAUUAGGUGAAACCUAACCAUCUUACUAAGACAGAACCCAUAAGUGUGGAUCGACAGUUCAACUCCAAAUUACAGUUUUCUUUAUCUUUUCCUAGUCAUUGCUCCUCUUUUAGAGUAAGAAGCAAUAUCUAGGUGGGAUCCUAAUGUGUGUACCUAUUAAGAAACGAAUCAUAAUGUACAAUGCAAAUACAUGCAUUGGUAUCAGUUCAAAACAAUAAUAGCACUUGCCCUACUUUGUCAAUCCGCCAUGGUUUCCACAACACUAGCUAUGGGUUUUAGCUGCUCAUGCUUGUGAAGAAAUCAAUAACAUUCAUAUUCGAAAGCAUAGAUGAAGGCACAAUGAUAAUAAGAAUUAAAACCCACAAUUGUAAUUGAAUUAAUGGAGCAAAGUCAAUACAAGAAAAUCCCAAGAUAAAAAUAGGAUAUUGGAAUCAAAAUGUUUGUAAAUAUCGAAAGUGUAUAACUUUGACUAAAAAGUACAUAAAGGGUAUUUAAAGUACAUAAGGAAACCCUAAAACUAAUGCCCAGACAAAAUAGGAGAAAACCAAGUCUGUGGCCACCUGCUCUCUGUACCUACAGUCUGGUGCUGGGAGCAGGUUGAACCUAAGGUCCUGACAGUGGGCACAGGUAAAAACCGCAGGCAUCGAGAGCGAAAAUCCCGCAAGUUCAGCUCUCGGGAUUUUGAACUCUUGGUAGUUGCUUUGCCUACAUGUUGUUUGUAUGUCCUACUUCCGACCACAUAUUGACCUGGUAAGUGCCGGGAGUCAUAUUUUCAGCACUACUUCAAUUCCUGAACAUGCUUUGAUCACGAACAAGAUGGAAAAUAUCUCAAAUAUCCAUAAUUGCUUAAAAAUUGGCCAAAACACCCUUUUUUACCCCUUUCAUGAGCUUAUCAUCCAAAACAUGUUUUCCUGCAAAACAUACGCAAAAUAGACCAUACCUAAAAAAUAGCCUCAGAAACUUGCAUAUUUUCCUUGUUUUAUGCAUCAAAAGUGCUAUAUUUCUAUAGCAUAUUAACACCCUCAACUUAGAAUAUUUUUAUGUCCUCUAGCAACAAAACAACAACAGACCCAGUGUUUUCCCACAGAGUGGGGUCUGGGGAGAGUAAAAUGUACGCAGUCCAUACCGCUACCUCCGAGGAAAUAGAAAGGCAAUUUCUGAUAGAACCCCAGCUCAAAAUAUAGAACAAUAUACCAAGGUAGCAUAAAAAAAAUCAAAGGUGAGAAAUAGUAACACUAGAUAUCCGAGAAAAGGAAAUAAGAGAAAAAGGAACAAACAAAAUAAGAAAUAAGGAAAAUUAAUACCCAUGUAGUAGUAACACAUACUCACCGACCUAAGACACCUACCACACCCAACUCUCUUAACACCUAAAUAACCGACCCACUCACACUAGCCUUCUAUCCUUUUCCGUGACCUCCACACCUUCCUGUUUAAGGUCAUGUCGUCAGUAAGCUGAAAUAGCUCCAUGUCAUGCCUAAUCACCUCCCUCCAAUAUUUCUUUGGCCUACCUCUACUCCUCCUAAAGCCAUCCAAAGCUAGCCUUUCGCACCUCUGAACUGGGGCAUCCGUGCCCCUCCUCAUCACAUGCCCAAACCAUCUCAACCUUCCUUAUCGCAUCUUAUCCUCCACCAAAGCCACUCCCACCUUCUCCCGGAUAGUCUCAUUCUGAAAUUUAUCCCCUUUAGUCAGGCCACACAUUCAUCGCAACAUUCUUAUUUCCGCCACCUUCAAUUUUUGAAUAUGUGAGUUCUUGACUGGCCAACACUCCACUCCAUACAACAUGGCCGGACGGACUGCCACUCUGUAGAAUUUGCCUUUAAGCUUAAGGGGCACUUUCUUAUCAUACAAUACUCCCGAGGUGAGUCUCCAUUUCAUCCAACCCGCUUCAAUAUGUUUAGAGACAUCCUCAUCAAUCUCACCAUUCCCCUGAAUCACAUACCUAAGCUAAUUAAAACUAUCCUUCUUACAAAUAUCUUGGGAAUCCAACCUCACCACCACAAUGUCCUCCAUACUUGAGUCACUAAACUUGCAUUCCAAAUAAUCUAUCUUAAACCUACUCAAUCUGAACCCCUUAGAUUCAAGGGUUUGCCUCCACAACUCUAAUUUCUCAUUCAUACCCCUCUGCAUCUCGUUAAUUAGCACUACAUCAUCUACAAAUAACAUACACCAUGUCACCUUACCUUGAAUCCUCCGUGUCAUCAUGUCCAAAACCAACGCAAAAAGGAAAGGGCUAAGAGUUGACCCCUGAUGCAAACCAGUCUUGGCUGAAAAAUGCCAGAUUCUCCUCCCACCGUUCGCACCUGAGUCUUACUUCCCUCGCACAUGUCCUUAAUAGCUCUGAUAUAUGCCACCAGAACUUCUCUUGCCUCUAACAACUCCAAAGUACCUCCCUAGGUACUCUGUCAUAUGCCUUCUCCAGAUCGAUGAACACCAUGUGGAAAUCCCUCUUUCUCUCCCUAUACUGCUCCACCAAUCUUCUCACUAGGUGGAUUGCCUCUGUCAUCGAGCGACCAGGCAUAAAACCAAACUGAUUCUCCAAAAUGGACAUGACCUUUUUCAAUCUUCUUUCAACGACUCUCUCCUAAAUCUUCAUAGUAUGACUCAAUAGCUUAAUACCCCUAUAAUUGUUGCAACUCUGAAUGUCACUUUUGUUUUUGUAUAACAGAAUCAUCAUACUCCAUCUCCAAGCCUCAAGCAUCCUCAUAGUCUUGAAAAUGAUGUUGAACAAAUCCGUCAACCAUCUCAAGCCUGCCCUAACAGCAUACUUCUAAAAAUCCACUGGAAUCUCAUUAGGCCUUGUCGCCCUACCUUUUUGCAUCCUACGAAUAGCCUCUCUAACCUCCUCCACCUUGAAAUGUCUACAAUAAAAGAAAACUCGGCUCUCUUCCAAGCGCUCCAACUCCCCUAACACAAUGCCUCUGUCCCUCUUCUCAUUUAAAAGUCUAUGAAAGUACUCCUACCAUCUCUUCUUAAUGUGAACAUCCUCCACCAAAAUCUACCAUCUCCCCCCUUAAUGCACUUCACUAGAUCGAGGUCACGACCCUUCCUCUCACUAGCCUUAGUAAGACUAUACAACCUUUCUCCUCUUUCUCCUCUAACCUCGUAUAAAAGCUCUCAAAUGCUAUUGUCUUAGCAGUCGUAACUGCUAACUUAGCCUCUUUCCUAGCAAAUUUGUAGACCUCGCUAUUUACUGACUUCUCCUCUUCCUCAUUACUUUCAAUCAACUUAAUAUACGCCCCCUUCUUAAACUCCACUUUCUUCUUAAUUUCAUCAUUCCACCACCAAUCACCCUUAUGCCGACCUGCCCGACCCUUCAAAACCCUCAACACCUCUUUAGCCACCUCCCUGAUGCAGCUGGUCGCCUUGUCCCAUAUAAUAUACAUGUCCCCUCUACACUCCCACACCCCCAUUUCCGCUACCUUCUCUUUUAUCUCCAGUGUACUAACUGUCGUCAAGCCACCCACUUAAUUUUGGGUCGACCCUCUCCUGCCCUAUUUUUCUUGAUCUUCUUGAUAAACUCCUCAGGCAACAAAACACACAAAGAAAAACAACACUUAACUAGGAGAAACUAAGUUAUUUUAGGCAAUCAGUCAAUAUGUAAAGCUCAGAACACAAGAUCCCCUUCCAAUCUUAUUUUUCCAAACUAACUUUGUAUGAAUAUAAAACACAACAAUGUGACAUAAUGGAUCAAGGUAUGAAAAUUACAUUAGCAAAAGACAACCACUCGUAUAUAUAAGUUCCACUACUUGAAAUAAGCAAUAGAUAGAAAUAGGACUCAAGUGCCUUCACAACAAUAUUGUCCCACUCACUUAUAUGAAAUCGUGCAUGUCAAUGCAGGGACGAUCAAGAUACACUCGCACUUCAAAGAUAAGUUCAAAUCAAUUCAUGUCAAAUACCAUAGGCUUGCCCUUAUUUUCUUUACCUUAGCAUCCAGAUAGUCAAGUUAGGAUCACUAUAGGACUUUAUUUGGCUUGUAACGAAGGCUUGGGGGCUGGUCUGGUACAUAUCGAUAUAUCAAGUGACUAAGCCUCCUUGGCACUAUAAUAACCUUGAGGUAUCACUUAUUAACCAUUUUUCACUUUAUUUCCACCCUAAUUUCUCCCUUUUAUUCUUUUAUGCACAUUCAGGUUGGGUGUGGUCUUUUAUUCUUUCUAUUCUUUUCAUAAUUUUUAUUUUUUUAUUCUUUUUUUUUCUACCACACCCAACCCUACUAACUUUUUCUCUUAUUUUACCCUUCUUCCUACAUAUUUUAGACUAUGCAUUCCAAUGAUAGACACCCUCAACUUAAGUAUUUCACCUGAGUUGAGGUGCACAAUGUCCAAGGAGGACCAGGGCUAAAAUAGUUUCAUUAUACUAUAAAUAGGAAGGUGAAUGGCAAAACAAAAAAAAAUAGGCUACAAGCCUCAAAAUAGGGAUCAAGGGAUAUAAUUCACACAUGGAAUAUCAUUUAGGCUAAUAGUAGACUAAAAUAAAAAACAACCUAUGAUCCUUUCCCAACCGACUAUCCUUCAACCUAGGCCAGGCUUACUAGACAAGUUCUGAAUUUGACAUACAAAGGGAACUAGGUAGUAUCUCACACGUACAUAGCACAAUCAAUAUUACCAACUAUUACCUAUCUAAUUCAUGCAAUUGUGAGAAAUUGAUUAUCAUGUCCCUAAUCCUAAUGCCAUAACAAGAUCCACAAUGUUCACACAUAUAUACAUGCAUACAGUUCUAAAAUAACACCUUUUGUAGCGGUAUAAAAAAUUAUUCAAAACAUGACUACUGUCCUAAAUACAUAAAAUCUCCUAUUAUACAAAACAAUACACAAUACAAAGAAAAAUACAAUAAUACACAAAAUUAUCCUAGACAUGCAGAUUCUACAACCAUACCGGCGUCGACAGGAAAAAAGCACAGCUAUAAAACCCUCGGUAGCAUGGUAUGCCUACCCCCAAUGAAAAUACUAUAUACUGUCCUCAAUGUGCUAAAACAAUGUAAAGUAGAGGGAAGUGAGAACAUACCUAGGACACGCUAGGCGUUCAAAUUAGGAGCAUCCCAGAUGGGGACAUAUCAGCUGGCAGAGACGGUGGUGGUGGUGCACUACUGGAUGAUGCACCCUCUACUAUAUAUGUACGCCUCUGCCUAUUGACAAAUCCAAGCUCCAUGAAAUCAUGCCUGAACAUUUUAAUGUCCUGAUCAUAUGGUAAAUUAGGGUCCUGCAAGUCGUCUAUGAGACCUCUCUUGGCCCCAACUACUGAGACCUUCCCAUCACCCUCCAUGAGAAAAUAAAGUUGUAUUGGUAUACAUGGAGAUGAUAUCUAGACAACCUGGGGUAUAAAUAAAGGUGUAAUACCCCGGGAAAUUUUUUGUUGAAAUUUUGUGCUUAAACGUGUUAGGUUCUAUCUUCUAGAAUAAAUUAUAAAUUUUUCGUGUGGAAUGUCUUAGAUUAUGACCCACCAUUGCGUACAAUGUCAAAUAAUAUUUCCAACGAUAUAUGGAUCAUCCAAAACGGACACCUGAGCGACGAGUUAUGAACAUUCCGAUCGAAUCGUGAAUAGUAGUGAACAGUAAAAUGUGCAGGAAAAAGUACUGAGGCCUGGCGUAUUUUUUCUCAAACUUUAAAUGAUCAUAACUCCUUGUACAUAAUGAUUUGGGUGAUCUACUAUAUAUCAACGGAAAGCUCUGCGAGUCCUCUUUCCAAUGAAAUUGGUUUCAUCCAAUUUGUCUAUCGGAGUAAAAAGUUAUGGUCGAUCUACUUUAGCCUAUCCAAAGUGAAUUUUUGGGUCAACUUCAAAUGAUCAUAACUCCUCGUACACAAUGAUCUGGGCGAGAUACUAUAUAUUAACGGAAAUAUAUGAGAGUCCUCUUUCUAAUGAAAUUGGUUUCAUCCAAUUUGGAUAUCGGAGUAAAACUUUAUGGUUGAUCUACUUCAGACUAUCAAAAAGUCCACCAAAGGAUAGAUUCGAGAAUUAUUUAAUUUUUAGGGGCGUUUUGGUCAUUCUCCCUCACCCAAAAUCCAUCCAAACCCUAUAUUAAAGCCUAUUAGAAGCAUUAUAUGUUAUAUUUCAUCAAAUUCCCUCAAAAAGAAAACCCUAAGCUCCUACAUCCAACUUCAAGAACCUCCAAAGUUCACCAUUAAUUCUGCAAAUUUAUUCAAGAUUCCAAGUUCCUAGUUCAAAACCUCCAAGAACCAUCAUUCAAAGGUACNNNNNNNNNNNNNNNNNNNNNNNNNNNNNNNNNNNNNNNNNNNNNNNNNNNNNNNNNNNNNNNNNNNNNNNNNNNNNNNNNNNNNNNNNNNNNNNNNNNNNNNNNNNNNNNNNNNNNNNNNNNNNNNNNNNNNNNNNNNNNNNNNNNNNNNNNNNNNNNNNNNNNNNNNNNNNNNNNNNNNNNNNNNNNNNNNNNNNNNNNNNNNNNNNNNNNNNNNNNNNNNNNNNNNNNNNNNNNNNNNNNNNNNNNNNNNNNNNNNNNNNNNNNNNNNNNNNNNNNNNNNNNNNNNNNNNNNNNNNNNNNNNNNNNNNNNNNNNNNNNNNNNNNNNNNNNNNNNNNNNNNNNNNNNNNNNNNNNNNNNNNNNNNNNNNNNNNNNNNNNNNNNNNNNNNNNNNNNNNNNNNNNNNNNNNNNNNNNNNNNNNNNNNNNNNNNNNNNNNNNNNNNNNNNNNNNNNNNNNNNNNNNNNNNNNNNNNNNNNNNNNNNNNNNNNNNNNNNNNNNNNNNNNNNNNNNNNNNNNNNNNNNNNNNNNNNNNNNNNNNNNNNNNNNNNNNNNNNNNNNNNNNNNNNNNNNNNNNNNNNNNNNNNNNNNNNNNNNNNNNNNNNNNNNNNNNNNNNNNNNNNNNNNNNNNNNNNNNNNNNNNNNNNNNNNNNNNNNNNNNNNNNNNNNNNNNNNNNNNNNNNNNNNNNNNNNNNNNNNNNNNNNNNNNNNNNNNNNNNNNNNNNNNNNNNNNNNNNNNNNNNNNNNNNNNNNNNNNNNNNNNNNNNNNNNNNNNNNNNNNNNNNNNNNNNNNNNNNNNNNNNNNNNNNNNNNNNNNNNNNNNNNNNNNNNNNNNNNNNNNNNNNNNNNNNNNNNNNNNNNNNNNNNNNNNNNNNNNNNNNNNNNNNNNNNNNNNNNNNNNNNNNNNNNNNNNNNNNNNNNNNNNNNNNNNNNNNNNNNNNNNNNNNNNNNNNNNNNNNNNNNNNNNNNNNNNNNNNNNNNNNNNNNNNNNNNNNNNNNNNNNNNNNNNNNNNNNNNNNNNNNNNNNNNNNNNNNNNNNNNNNNNNNNNNNNNNNNNNNNNNNNNNNNNNNNNNNNNNNNNNNNNNNNNNNNNNNNNUAUGUGAGUCUUUCAUACAUCCUGCAUAUUUCUUAUAAAUAUUUAUGAUGAUGAUGUUUAUACAACUACAUACACCCCCAUAUACUCGGUUUCUUUCCAUGGUACUGACCCACAUCUUCGAAUGUGGGCUGCAUUUUCUCAGAAUGUAGGUUUAGGUGCUCAGUUCCAGGUUCGACAGUGAUUCUUCAGGCAUGUUGUUCUACAUCCUUUGUUGUAGUGAGUCCUUAUGUUCCGAGGACGUGAUGUCUGAUGUUGGUUUCAUGGAAUUGUUUACAUUUAAUAAUUGAGUAUGAGUCAGUUGGGGCAUGUCUCAAUGGCUCACUGGUUUUAUUGGUUUUCUUAGAGGCUUGUCAGACUAGUAUAGAUGUUGGAAGUAGACUAAUAAGUCGUAUUUUGUUAUUUUUCUGAAAUUCUUUUAUUCUUGGAUGAUGAUUACUCUAUUGAUAUUUGAGGGUUAUUUAUGGAAACAUCAUUGAUUUUGUUGAACUGAAUGAAAAUGGCUCAAAGGUUAGCUUGGGGCUACUCAUAGCCUCAAGCACCGUGUGACGCUCUGGGACCCAUUUUUUGGGACGUUACAAACUUGGUAUCAGAGCCUAAGGUUUUAAGGUGACCUAGGGAGUCUGACAAGCCACGUUACAUAGAGUCUUGAUCAUCGGUGUGUAGCGCGCCAUAAUUAUGAGCAAUAGGCUACAAGACAUUUUAGGAAAAAGUGUGAUUCUUUCUUUUAGAAGUCUAUCAUGCUUAAACUAUCUCUCUCUGCUAUUGAUUCGUGCUUUCCUCUUUCAAAAAUAUGCCUCCACAUCGAGUGAGAAGAAAUAAUAAUGGUCAGCAACCUCAGCCUGCUGACCCAUUGAAUAAAAAUGUGUCUCAUGCUGAAUUUCGGACAGCCUUUCAGGCGCUCGCCCAAGCUGUUACUACAAAUGUUCAAGCCAACCCGGCCCCAGCUCCACAGCAGUAGGAAGGUGAUUCAGCUACUGCCAGGAUUCGUGACUUCAUGCAGAUGAAUCCGCCGAAAAUGGGACCAAGUCUAAUGAGGAUCCACGAUUUUUUUAGAGGAGGUGCAGAAGAUUACUCAGGUGAUGCAUGUAUCUAAGGAAUAUAGUGUGGAGUUGACUGCGUAUAGGUUGAAAGACCUUGCUUAUGACUGGGUUGUUGCUUGGAAGAAAGGUAGAGGUGAGGGAGCUGUCCCUACAACUUGGCAAGAGUUCCAAGAUGCAUUUCUGGAUAAGUUUUUCCCUUUGGAGAUGAGAGAGGCGAAGGUGGAAGAGUUUAUGAACCUGUGAUAGCGCUUUAUGACUGUUAGGGAGUACUGUUUAAAGUUUAAUCAGUUGGCCAAGUAUGCUCCUGGCUUAGUGGCUGAUAAUUGGGCUAUUAUGAGUAAGUUUGUGACUGGAGUGUCUAGUUAUGUGGUUAAGGAGUAUAGGUCUGCUAUGCUGAAUAGUGAGAGGAAUCUUUCUAGGCUGAUGACUCAUGCCCAACAGAUUGAGACAGACAAGAUUAAGGAGAGAGAUAGAAUAAGAGGGAAUAAGAGAGCUAGGUUUGAGCAGCACAGAUAGAGUUAGACUAGAUCACAGGAAGGGAGUCACCCUCAGUAUCAGGAUCGUUCAUCUAUGCCAGCACCAUCAUCUGCUAGUGCUCCCAUGCCUAGAGGUAGGCAGAAGCAAAGUAGCAGGUCAUAUGUAUCUAGGUCCCAGUACAAUACUGGCAGUAAGCCAAAUCAUCCCCUGCGUCCUAAGUGUGGUAGGGAUCAUUUGGGUGAGUGUUGGGGUGAGAAGAGGGGUUGUUUCUGGUGUGGUGACAUGUGUUAUAGAGUUAGAGAUUAUCCAUAGGAUAGACAAGGGCGUUGUGACUAUCGCCCUCAGACCCAGACUCAGACUGUUAGUGCUCCAGUUCCAGCGACUCGCCUAGCCCCAGCUCAGGGCGCCUCUUCUAGAAAUACUGGCAGGCAGCGCCAGAAUAGAUUCUAUGCUUUACCGUCUCACAAAGAAUAGGAGGACUCUCUCGAUGUUGUUCUGGUAUGCUUCGUAUAUUUCAAUUUGAUGUGUAUGCUUUGUUGGAUCCUGGAUCCAUUUUCUCAUAUGUUACACCUUUGGUUGCUGUGAAUUUUGAAAUGAGUCCUGAGAUUACUCCUGAGCCUAUCCUAGUUUCUACCCCAGUGGGUGAUUCGAUUGUUGCCCAGAAAGUGUAUAAAAAGUGUCCUGUUACCGUUCUUCAUAGAGUCUUGUUGGAUGAUCUAAUUGAGUUAGACAUGGUAGAUUUUGAUGUGAUUCUGGGUAUGGACUGGCUGUAUUCUUCUUAUGCCUCUAUUGAUUGUUGGACCCGAGUGGUCAAGUUUCAGUUUCUGGGUGCAUCCGUGUUUGAGUGGUCUAGGAAUUCUGUGUCACCGAAGAGUCAUUUUAUUUUUUACCUCAAAGCUA
rnacentral:lncRNA from 1 species